rnacentral:lncRNA from 1 species
CCAAUCCAUUUCGGACUAUAAAUAAAACCCAAAGUCCACAAAUGAAAAUCCAAAAUCCAAAGUCCACAAAUAAAACACAAAACUCAAAGUCUACAAAUAAAACCUACGACCACAAAGUCGUUAAACUAAACUAUACCCAAAAUCAAACGACCGUAAGUCGUUAAACUAAUCCCAAAUCCAAACAAUCUCAAAGUCGCUAAACUAAACAACCAAAUCCAAACGACCAUAAAAUCGUUAAACUAAACCCAAAAUCAAACGAUCGUAAAGUCGUUAAACUAAACCCAAAAUCAAACGACCGCAAAGUCGCUAAACUAAUCAACCAAAUCCAAACGACCGUAAAGUCGUUAAACUAAACCCAAAUUCAAACGACUGCGAAGUCGUUAAACUAAACAAUCAAAUUCAAUUGACCAUCAAGUUGUUAAACUGAAUUCAAAUUCAAAUGACUAUUAAGUCGUUAAACUGAAUUCAAAUUCAAAUAACCAUCAAGUCGUUAAAUUGAACUUUCGACCGUCAAAUCGUUAAACUGAAUUCAAAUUCAAAUUGAUCCUCAAGUCGUCAAACUGAACAAAUGACCAUCAAGUCAUUAAACUGAAUAUUUGACCAUUAAGUCGGUAAACUGAACAUCUGACCGUCAAGUCAUUAAACUGAGUUCAAAUUCAAAUUGACCACCAAGUCGCUAAACUAAGCAAUCAAAUUAAGCUCCUUUUAACCGUCAAGUUGUUAAACUGAGCGAACUAAAUUCAAAUUCAAAUGACCAUCAAGUCGUUAAACUGAAUUCAAAUUCAAGCCGACCGCCAUGUCGUUAAACUGAGCAACUUAACUCAAAUCGACCGUCAUGUCCUUAAACUGAGCACCUCAAUUUCAAGCCGACCGCCAUGUUGUUGAUUUGAGCACCUCAACCUCAAGCCGACUGCCAAGUCGUUAAACUGAAUACCUCAACCUCAACUUACUUUAACUGACCGCCAGAUCGCUAAACUGAGCGCCUCAGCCUCAAGCCGACCGCCACGUCGUUAACUGAGCUACUCAAGUCAAGCCGACCGCCACGUCGCUAAACUGAGCUACUCAAAUCAAGCCAACCACAAUAACUCAAUUCAAAUCGACUAAAUGACUGCCAAAUCCAUAAACUAAGCAUUUCAUCAAUGUACAGUGGGGGUAUGCCCCUGCUUAAGCCAUGUACUUGAAAAUUAUAUCAAUUCAAAUUCAUCUCUAUACUACGGUCUCUUUCUAUCAUCGGCAUUAAAUUUGGUCUCUUAAUCAAGGGUUCCUUAACAUUAAAAGUAUGAGGUAAUUAAUAGCUGAUUCUUGAGUCUGUUGGAAGUCAUGAACCUAUAAUCUUGAUUUCAAAAUAAAAUUUAAACAAAUUUAAUCUGUGCCAUGAAUGACCACUCGCUGGAGAAAUACCUACGGCUGGGCCGGUUCGUUCGCGACAGACACAAGUGAUGUGAGAUUCAUCUUACUAUGCUUAGUUGACCUUGUGGGAAGUCCCACUCAACGAUCGUCAAUUAGAGAACCACACUACCUUACUUGAGGCCUAUCUUACACUUUUGGCUGGUAAUUGUCUUUGAUACCAACGGUUAUACCCCACUUCCCAUGAGGGUCACCCAUCUAGGAACUACUCUAACUCUUGUAUAGUUAACCAUCUGAAUCCCAUGGGCCUAACAACUGCCUAAAAUACCAUAGUCAGGCUAAGAGGCUUAGUACUAUUAUAGCUGUAUAUGACUAUUCCAAAUAUUAAGAUUAUUACACCAGAGAAUCUGGAUUAUAACCGUAUCCAACGAUAUCUUAAAUGCCAAAAUUAGAGCUAUAAUAAGAAAGUAACAGUCCAUGACGAUUCGAUUUGGUAAAUUUUUUGAAUUGCAAUCUGAUUCAACGAACAAACCUAAUCUAUUUACUAUUAAGUCCAACAUUUUUUUUGAAAUUAUAAGUCUGGCUCAUAGCUAAAGCAAAAAAGAAUUAGUCCAAGAAGCUUAUUAGGCCGAAUCAAAAGCUAAAUAAAAUCUAAACAUUUCACACUAUGGUAUAAAAGCUCAAUUGGGAUAGAGUUCCUUUUCUAUACAUGCACAGCAUCAGAAUACGAAGCACCUACCAAUGUUAUAUUAGUAACCAAAACCCAGAAUUAUUUUUUGCAUUUCUAUAGAACACUUGAAUGUUUACAAAAUGUGAAGUUUUCAAAUUACACUAAAAGCAACUAUAACAAGUACGCCACUAUAAAAAUUUAAACCUUUUGUGACGAACACAUGCAGUUUGUCGUUAUAAAAUGAAAAUUCGUCGCUAUUGCUCUUUAGCUUAAAAAUUAUCUUCGUCGCUGCUUCGUCGCUAUCUCCCCAUCGCUAAAACUGUUUAGUAAUAGAGUAAAGUAGUUAGUCGCUAUUGGCUGCUACAUUUAGCAACGGCAAAAUAAAUGGUUGCUAUUUGCCUAAUUCUUUGUUGCUAUUGCUAAAUAUUCAUCUCGAUAAUAUUUUUUGUUGCUAUAUAUAACCUAAUUGCAACAACAUCUUUUUGUUGCAGCAAGCCAUUAUUUUUUAAUAAUUUUAUUUUAUUUUUUUAUGAUAGAAUAGUGGCGAGAAUAGUUUGUCGCAAAUUCAAUAACAAGUCAAUUAAUUCAACAAAUAGUUUGCGACCAAUAAUAUGGUCACAAAUUUAUCUGUCAAAAUAUACUGCCAAUUAAAUAUUCGUUGUUUUAGUAAUCAAUCCAAUAACAAUAUCCAUCUACUAUUUAUAUGACAAUUUCUCACAUUUCACAAAUUAAAUUAUAAUCAAACAUCAUACAUAAAUUAGCAAACAAACCAAAGUAUAUUUUGAAUUCAAAGUAUCUUUACAGAUCCAAAUAAAUAAAAUAUAACCAACUAAGUAUCUUCCUAGAACAUUUAAAAUAUUCAAAUAAAUAUACAUAGUAACUAGUAUUUUUUCAACAAAAACACCGGCAUUCCAUUAGAAGAAAUUUUUGUACUUGGCUUGCUCCGAUGUAGUCUAUUCGCACAUUUUUGUACAAAAUAAAAAAAAAAAUUAUUAAUAAUGAGGUAAAUAAAGUUUACCUAAUUAAUUAUUACUUUAUAUAAAUAAUCCAUUACACAAUUUCACAAAAAAUUAAGAUGAUAAUACAAGAUAGAUAAAUAAAUUAAUAUUCAUCGACUUUGUUAUUUUCUGUAAGAAAGUCAUUUUCAUUUAUUAAAAAUAUCUUAUUUGAAGAUAGUUAAUAUGUAUAAACCCUAAACUCUAAAUCCUAAACCCUAAAUUGCAGAUUUUCAAAAAUAAAACGAUUUACGAUUUUAUUUUACAAAAUCUCCCGCAAUGCACCUAUCUAGCAUGAUGUCCGCCCUUUCGGUAUGUAGUUUUCGCUAUCACUUAGUUUUCGGGAUUGGGUAAGUGAUUGUGGUCUCAUAGAUCUUUAAUUUGGUGCACUGGUUCUCAGUUUACAUGGUGGAAUUGUCGGCAUGGACUGGAGGCUAAGCGAGUUAGCUUCGAUAUGGAGUCCUGUGAAAUGGUUUAGGGGUGUAUGGUAUGGUGAAUACAUGAUAUAGAGGGCAGGUAGGCUUUCUUCGAUUAGGCGAACCACUCUCAUUCAAGCAAGACUCUUUGGGGCACUAGUCUUUUCCUUCUUGGCUGAAUCUCCCAUCAUGGAAGCAGGGGCUAUCCAGGGAUUUUGGUUUAUUGUUAGGAAUCCUAGGUUUUUAUUGGAUAACGUUCAUCUUCUUCCUUAAAUACUCAAGCUAGUCGAUCGAACUACCUCUCAACUUUAGGAAAGGCCGACUCAAAACCAAACCAGAACAUAGUUUGGAUGUGGGUUGAAGGAGUCUGAAAAUAACUUAUUAUUUAGUAUAGCACCGACCCAAUUGUAAGAGCUGAGCUCUACCAACUGAGCUAUAUCCCCCUGGUAGAUCCAAGAUCGAAUUUUGGAAAACAGAAAAAAAAAAUUCAAAUGUGUAUCCAGUCUAAAGGCAGGUUCUUACGCGUUACUCACCCGUCCGCCACUGGAAACACCACUUCCCAUCCGACUUGUCCAUGCCACGCUUCACCCUACUCGACAUACCUAUAAAAAGAGGCCCACAAAAAGGAGUGAGAAAUUGUAAAGUUUUCCUGCUGCAGAUACAACAAACUGGCUAAGACAAGUUUUCCCCAGCUAAUUGGUAGAAGAGUAGUAAUAUAAUAAGACAAGUAAAUUACUAGAAAGCAACAAUGAUAAGAUAUGUCUGCGAGGUAGUGUUUACAAGUAGAGUUAAUGUACAAUAUAUGAUGUUCUAUUUGUACGUCAAGUGUACCAAUAUUAAUGAGUCUAUAUCCCUAGCUCCCAACUAGCUAGGAAGAGUCCAUGUCAACUCUUACUUAGUGCCCUAUCUAGGAAGCUAUCCUAGAGACUACUACCUCCUUACUACUAACUACAUAGGAGCAUGCAGUAGAUAAACAUGUGUUAUUGCUAAACAUGUGUUAUUGCUAGCAUGCUUUCUAUGUCAUAUCACUAGAAUGACGACUAGGAUCAUUCGACAUAUCGUCACUAGGCAUGCUAUUACCAAUAUCUAUCAUGAGUACAUGAAUAUUAUGAGUCGUCACAUUUAUAUUGCAGUUCAUCUGGCAUACUUUCUACGAUGGAAGUGACUAAAUCAUGUGAAUAAUAUUAAUGUGUGUACGUACCAACAUCUCGAGUCUUAAAAUCCCUUUAAAAGUAAAAGUGUUUAGCUGGUUGGUUCUUAAGAGAAGGAUUCUUACAUGCGAUAAUCUUGUUAAGAGAGGGUUGAUAGAAGACCCUACCUGCGUGCUAUGCGGGUCGGACGAGGAAACAGUGGACCAUCUGUUCACUCGGUGCGUAUUCUGAAAGUUUAUCAUAGUGACAAGGAUGAACGAUAUUCAGGUCCAAGAUCUGAGGGACGAUGUGAAUCUCGUAUGGGAUAGGUGAUUGGGCAGGAAGGAUCAUCAAAUGAAGCGAACCAAACUUACAUACCUAGUAGGCUGCUGGUGGAUUAUUUGGAAGGUCAGAAACGACACUAUCUUUCGGAAUAUCCUUUCGAAUCCUGAGCUAGUGGUCCACAGGCUCAAGCUUCUUGUGAAGGAGUGGCACCUUAUUCUCACAUCUUAACUUCGGUUUUUUUUUUUUUUUUUUUUUUUUUUUUUUUUUUUUUUUUAUUAAGGUUUUCUUCCUCUCCAAGCCUAGUUGCCCCACACUUGUAGCUUAAUUCAUCAAUCCAAUAAAUGAAGCGGGUAGCGUGCUACCUUUUUCUCAAAAAAUAUUAAUGUGUGUACAUACCAUGAGUGGAUGAACCUAUUAUAAACGCGUAUAGGUAUAAGUAUGUGAUCAUCAACCAAAUUAUCCCUACUUGUCUGUAGUAUAAAUCAAGAAUAGUUAACGAGUCAAGAAGAAGUGAUUAACAUUAACGUUGAACUAGAUCUCCACCAAGUAUCACUACACCCACUUCGAAUUGACCACCAUCGAGAUUAGCUCACUCAGCAAUUACGGCUCAUUCCCAACUCCUCGAUCCUCUGUCAGAUCUGAGGAGAAUGUAUACAAGUUAUACACAAUAUACAUUAAGGCAUGAUCCACGACAAAAGAAACCUAUAAAAAUUCAACUUUGAGGUUUCAAGAAGCACAAGUUUCAAAAUGUGAUAUUGAAGUUCUGGAACCUCCCCUUGAUUCUGGAACCAAUGGUUAUGUUUCAUAGAACUAGAACCAUGCAUCUCCGUUCUAUUUUAUUGUUUAGGUUGUGGAACCUAGUACCUGGUUCCAAAAUUUGACCCCCAAAAUGCAUUUUCAGUGACUACAACUCGGUUGCUGCAACUCCACGAAGUUCACAAAAUUGCAUGGAGUUAUAGCCUCAAUUUGACCAGAAUCUAAACCCAUUCUCACAAGGCAUCUAAAAAAUAAUGAAGAGUAUGAAGAGGUCAAGAGGCACAGGUACGUAGUUCAAGACCCUAGGCCAAUUCUAGGGGUCAAGAUCAGAACUGAAAUCUACAGAAUGUUCCCAAAUCUUCCAAGAAAACUUUGAUCAAAUGAUUAAGAAGACUCAAAAAAGGGGCGAGGAUAACCUCAAACAAGCAUAAAGACUUGGCCAUUUACAAGCUCACUCAUAAUGACUUUGGAACCUAGGGUUUUAAGCUCAUUUUUAUAAAUCGAGUUGAAAUUACAAACAAAACCCAGAAACAACUUAAUUAAAACCUCUUAUAGCUUCAAAGAUCAAUCACCACUCAUCUACGGUUAAUUAGGGUUUCUCCCACCAAUAUAACUUUUUUCAGGAUGGGAACAUGCUUGCAUGUGGUCUACCGACAUCUUCAAUUCGAAACAAAAAAAAAAAGAAAAAGAGCUGUUUGCGAGCAAUGGGCUCACUUUGGCAACCUACUUAGGCCAGCCCAUAUCUAUUCCAAUAGCUAUAUAUGAUUUUAUUUCCAUGCAGUUUUAUCAUGAUGAAACUGAUAAAGUUGGAACGAUUACUUGAAAUUGUUGCUCCUUUUUCGGUUUAGCGGGCACAAGUACUUCUAUGCAAUAAAGUGAAUUUAUAUAUAUAUUUGGCAGCAAGCUAUAAAAUUUCUUUGCAGUUUCAUGGCCAAAAUAAAACAACAGCACCAAACAUGAUUGUACAUCAUUUAGAAUAUUUAUUUAUCAAAUAUAUAUUUUCAAAACUGCCCCCAAAAGCGUUUAACAUCUCCAUUCGUAGAUCAAGAACGUGAAAAAUGCAUGUAGUUGGCGCUAACAGAAGGGGCAACAUAUAGGAUUUUACAAAUCAAAAGGUACAGUUGUAGGUUAAGCAGCAUCAAUCUUUCUAUGGGACCGAAUACUUUUAGAAACAUUUUAUGAUCUUCUACAGCUUCCUUAGUCUUGAUCACUUUCAAUAGAAGACAUAUAGGGUUGAUAAUAGACCAAUCAUAUAAUACUUUGUUAUUAAAAAAAAUGACCAAAUUAAAAACAAUAUACUAAUUUUAAGUAAAAUAAAAUAAAAGACACCUUCAAAAAAAAAAGAAAUAAUAAUAACGAAAGAAAUUUAUCGGUUAAUGGGUUUAAAAAUUCCUCGCACCUUAGAUCACAUCUUAAUUAUUUCUAUGCAAAUAGUGUCAAUUUUCAUUUCGGACUUUGUCACAAACUCAAGUAUGCGCCAAAGCUUUAUGAAAUCAAGUUUCACAUAAACUGAAUAAAUGGCUUUGUAAACUGUCAAUUUAAUUUGAUCGCAUUAAUAACAAACAGGAUCUCUGCUGUUUAAUUUGUUUCACAUCUAUUAUAUAUUUAAGUUGGAAAUUAGCUAGAUAAAUAUUCAGAUGCAGCAUCAUAUGUGAUAUGUUAAGUAUAGCAAAAUCUCUUGCCGACGCUACUAUGUGGGCACAUUAAAUCUACAAAAUACAGCAAAAUCUUUUCACAUCAAUUCUCCAUUAUGGUGGGGGACAAUUUGAUCCUUACGCCACGGUUUUUUAGUCACUAAGGAAGCUAUGUUCCUCAUAUUCUAGUCCUUCAUGUGGGAGAAGGACCACGUGCUUUGAGUAAGAGUUAAGUCUCUUCUGGGACAGGAAUUUUGGUGGAAUAGAUCUAGAGAAAUAUUGUCAUAAUUAAACUGUUUCUUAGGAAUUGUAUGGUUUUAUGCAUGCCUACAUUUAGUCGUGAGUUUGGACCGCUCAAAAUCACUUUUAAGCUCUAAAUCAAAGCAAAUCUAAGGGACGUAGAACUCCUACUAUAGUUAUACAGAUUGAGUGGAGAAUAUAGAGAUUUCGGUGGACCAUGGAAUCGUACAGCUCGCCUAACGGUGGGGUCGAUUAAUUUCGACCAUUUGAUUAAUUAGUAGAUGCCCAGUAAUCUCGGCUUGAAUCACCGAUAAUCGAGCAGAUUGAUCUUAUAUAUAUUUAGGUAGACGUCGAGAACAGCUGGCGCGCAAGAUAAAUUUGUGUACCUAGCCUAUAGAAAAUUUGCACCCAAGUAAGGAAGAUCUGGUCAACUCAUCCACACCAAUAUUGAAGCAGACGUUGGGAGAUGGUUAGGUCACAAUCCAAGUUAGGUUUCAACACAGCACUCGCCCCUCCGUUUAUUUCCCCAUUUUAAAGAGUACAAGCCAUGGUACAUUUUCAUACUUUAUUUGUAAUGAAUGUAUGAGUAAGUGGCUUCGAAUAGAAAGAGGCAACAAAGUUUGUUGAACCGUUGUUGUUGGUACGUUUAAUGGGUACAAGAUUUUGCGGUUGGAUGGUGUGUCCGUUUAAAGGCUAUUUUUUGGUACAUAGAUUUUCUAGGUGAUGUUACUGAGGCAUCCAAUGUUAAAUGAGGGCUCAGUACAUAUGCUUUGUGAUGUUAACUUGGAUGUGGCCUAAAUUUGUGCCACGACUCACAAAAUGUGAAUUCUAGAUCUAGCAACUUAUAUAUGUACAUCAAGCUCAAAUUAAUAUUGGUGCCCACCUAGAGUGCUUCACUAUAUAUAAUUGUUUGAGAUGCUCUUGCAUAUUCAUCACAUGUCAAAUUAGUAAAUACUUUAAUCAUCCAUAGCUUGCUAAGUUGGCUACCAUCUAACACGGACAAAAAUUUUAUGGGCAUAACCCCCAAACUAACUAGUUUGGGGACUAUGCGGACCGGUGCCAUGUGGCCCAUCUGACGGCCACGGAUGAAACAAAAAAAAAAAAAAAAAAAAAAAAAAAAAAAGCCCUGUGGUUUUAGAGAAAGAGAAAAAAAGCAACUAAGAAAGGCACUCAUCGGAUCGGUCACAUGGCGCCGAUCCGCAUAGUUCCCAAACUAAUUAGUUUGGGGAAUAUGCCCAUAAAAUUUUUGUCCAUCUAACACCUAACACUAUUGGUAUGAAUGCGGAUGAAAUGUCUUGAUUCUCUGAGUUGUAAGGUGUGACACUAAUAAUUCCAAAAUUAGAUGAAAAAGUAAUUGUCUUUAAAUAUUUAAAAAUUAAGCAUUCAAUAUUAAUAACUAAAUUUAAAAUUUUGGAGUCAUUGGUUUGGAUCCAAUAAGUUGUUAGCACUAAUGGGUCUACUAAAGUCAGUUUACCAGUCGAAAAUGCGGAAUAGGUCAUAUGUAACCCGAUGAUUUUGUAUCGGGGGUGAAAAGUUCUCUUAAUAAGGACAUAUAUAUUUUGUUGUGUCAAGAUGCUAUUAUUAUUCUUCGAAAAUUACUUUGCAUUAAUAUUGUGGUUAACACAUCUCUGAAUCUAAAUCAUUUAUUUGAAAUAAGAUAAAUAAACUCGUAGAUGGAAUGUAAUAAGGGGUCCUUCAUUCCAUGAAUAUAUAGCUGCUAUGAGCCGAAUUUCCUGAUCCUUGACCCGGUCAAAAAUCUCUCUAGAGAAGAGUGUAGAAACGCAGAACGGCUGUGAAUAGUGACUCUCGAAGACUACUCCUAGAAAAUGCAAGAAAAAUACAGAAGAAGUAAAGGUGGUCUUCUAUUCUCGAAAAAAAUACCUCUUUCCCAAGCGUUAUUUGCCUAUUUAUAGUCUGCCUCUACUGGUUAGUUAUUGCCCCAUCCAUAAUCGGCCACUACCCUAUUUUUAAGGGCCACUUCAAGCCGAUCAAAUCUGCAUGUAACCGCCUGCAAUUACUGUAGCUUCCUGCAUUUAAUCCUGGCGGUUACUUAAUUAUAUUGUCGAUGCUCCCGGUGCACACCAAGACCUUCUCUAAUCCUUGCUCUUAAAUAUUGGGGUUGAAUGGUGCACCAGCAUACCACAUGGCCGCGCGUUAUUGGCUUAACAAUAGCAUUUUCCAUAAUGUAGCAAGUUUUAUGUUUGAAAUGGCAAAUUUGUUAUCAAUGACUUUGAUUGGGAGAUUAUCAAGACCUUGUAUAUCGACCUUAUACAUAUACAUGUAGCAUAUGUCCUUUUUAUACCAACCGUCUCUAGAGCAAGUAGCAAAGAGCUUAGUGGUUGGCACCCGAGACCCAUGUUCGAAUCCUAAGUUGAUUUACAUUUUCAGCUAAGUUUAUUUCUAAAUGAAAUAAGCGAAGUGGGUAGUGUGCUACCUAUCUCUCAGAAAAAGUUUAUGUCCUUUUUAUUGCUAACACUAAUUCUAUAAAUUAACGUAUCACAAUAAAAAUUUUCUUCUUACUGUCGUGAUUAAUUACCUUGUUAAUGCAUCUUGGUAAAGUGAUGGAUGAUAACUUUUAUUAGAAAAUACAACUAUUGUGAGCAAUCCAUUAUUUUUGUAUAAAUUUUAUUUUAAAAUAUUUUUAAAAAAACGACACCAAUGUUUGAACAAUGCCUUAGGACACUACAACAAAAACGAUCUAUAGCGACACUUUUAAAUGUUGGUAUAGGUCAAAAAAAGUGCUAAAUUACCGAUACUUUUAAAAAGUGUUGCUAUAUGUGGAGUCGCUAGGUAUAUAGCGACAAUUAAAGAGUGUCGCUAUAAUCUAAAAAAGUGUUGCUAAUUUAGCAACAUUUAUUUAAGCAUCUAGCAACCGUCGGAACUCUACCUCAUUGGCUGCGGUGGCGGAGGAGGACGAGAGGGAAGGGCUCUUCGUCUAGAAUUUCAGUGGAUUGAGUGUGGGGAGAAGAGGAGAUGAUAAUUGAUUUUUCUUUUUUUUUUUUCCUUUCAGUUUGGAAUCGGGCCAAAUAGACUGGAUUGGGUGGGUUGAAUAUAGUAACAUUUUAUUUUUUUAUUGGAUUCGGCUUUAUAUUUAAGCAUUAGUAGAUGUUUUUUUAAAUUUUGACAUAAAUGGGGCACUUAGACAAAAGUGCCCCAAACAUGUAUCCUUAUAACCUAAUUCUGUUGUAGUUGGACUCAUAUUAAAAAAGAAAAAAAAGAAGUUGCAAACGUUUUCAAAAUAGUUGAAAAGUUAGAAACUAGUUCAAAAAUUGCAAUAGAAGUAAGUGUGUUAACUACAUAUGCGACGCCUGCUUUUAAAGAGCAUCAUCUAUUCUAUAACUACUCUAAUCCUAUCAUACUUAACCCUUGUAACCCUUUAGAACUAAACACAGUCCAAAAUAUUAUAGCCAAAUUAAAAAAUUUAGUUUUACUAUAUCUUAUUUAUAUAAUUAUUUCCGGCCUUUGAAGUGACACAUUCAUUUUCUCUUUAAGCUCUGACAUUCUCGUCUGGUUCAAGCAUAUUUACAAAUACCAGACAUAUAAAACUUGUCUCUUUAGUCUUAUCAUUCAGAGCUUGACUUAAUCUGUCAUUUUCAAACCCCAACUUAACCCGUUAUUUUGACCCUAAUUUAGUUGAAACUCCUUUCAUACUUUCGAUUGGAGAUUAACUUUGAUACCAACUACAACGCUUUAAUUUUUAAAAGAAUAAUUUAUUCUAAAACUACUCUAGUUCUAACUUCUAACACGUUUAACCCUCCUAACUUCUUAGGUCUAACUACCUACCAAAAUGUUAUAGCCAAGUUUAAGAAAUUUAGUCAUAUUAUUUCCUAUAUAUAGAACCAUUUCGAAUCUUAAGAAUGUCAUAAUAUAUCUACAAAGUUAGUGAUAAAAAUUAAAUUGUCAGUGAAAUAUUGUUAUAUUCCUCUGAAAGCUAUUAAGCACAAAGUUUAUGAAAGAAAUCUGAGAACUCAAAACUUGUGUCAAAAAAAAAAACAAAAAAGUAUGGAACUUCUAAGCAAUAGCUGAAAAAUCAAGAACCCAUUUAAGAAGAGUGCAAAAUUAGGGAUACAUUUUUUGGGGGGAAAACUUCAAUUAAAUGCCAUCCUUGUGGUUUUACACUUUCUCACUUUAGUAUCCUAUGGUUUAAAAUGUAUUAAUUUAGUGCCAUGUGGUUUCAUUUUUAUCUUCUUAUUAUCGAUUUUACUAAUUUUUUUUUGUUAAAUCAGUGAGAAAGUUAAAACUAAAGGAUACUAAAGUGAAUAUUCAAUAAAUAUAGGUGGGGUAUCUAAAGUUUUUUGUAUAUAAUUUAACGAAAUAUUAACGGAAAAGCUGACGAAAAAAUAAAAAUGAAAUCACAGAACACUAACUUGAUAUAUUUUAAAUCACAGAGCACUAAAGUGAGAAAGUGCGACACCACAUGGGUGGUAUUUGAAGUUUACCCUUUUCUUUUUUUUUUCGCACGCCUCCAAAAUUUACAAAUAUUGUACAUAUUGUUGUAAGAUUGAUAUAUAAUAUGAGGAUUGUCCCUUCAAAAGUCUACUUAAUUUGUUUCAAUCCUACCCAUGUCUUUGGCCUCCAUCAAUUCAAAUGAAUUCAACUUAAUUUUACUAUUAUAUAGGAAAAUCCAAAUACGAAAUUGUCUAUUUUGCAUGCCUUUUUAUUUUGAAGCUUAAUCCGGGGCUGCUAUACCCGUUAUUUUAUUUCGAAAUAGGGUCUUAAACUUUUUCGUUUCUUUUCUUCUCAUCAAUAUAAUUUGACAAUUUUGCUGAAAUUAAUUAAUCAGUCCAUUUAGUACUAUUAGCUAUUAGUCCUUAAGAAAAGGAGUCGAUCGAAAAUAUCAAAAGCUUGAUGCAGUUGACGUUUAAAUUUACAAAUUUUUCACUUUAAAUGCUUGAAAUAAAUGAAAAUAAAUAAAGUUUAAGAUGUUAAAUAAUAUGAAUUCAUAAAAUAAAAUAGCUGUUUUCGAAUAAUGACUUAUAGUUGAGAGGGCUCCAAAUAUUUUUAUCUCACCGAAAAGAGUACUUGUGUGUCUUUCAAAAUCACUUUGUAACUUUCCGAUAAAAAUUCACGACUACACUCAAAUCGAUUUGUAUAAUUGAUUUUUGAAAGAUUAGCUAACAAUUUUUUACGAGAUAUAUUGUUUGAUUGGAAACUUCUACAUCAUUUUGUUUAAUUUUUCUCAAAGAAGAGAAUUAAUUUGCUUGUAAAUAAUUAAUUUAUAGUGUAUUUGUGAGAUUAAUUAAUGAUGACCAGAUGAUAGGGUAUUUAAGGGGCAGUGAUAAUAAAUAGAAAUGAAUUCAGUAAAUUUUUCCUAAAAAUUACUCGAUAAUUUGUUCUUAGGGCAUGUUUAUUUUGCUUUUAUAUAAUCGACCUCAGAAACGGAGUAGUAGUCCAUUUUGACUCUUGUAGAUGUUUAGUAUACCUUUUAAUCCCAUUCCAAUUUCGUUUCAGCACCAAACAGAAAUCAGCAAAUCCGGGAUUAAGUCGACUUCAGCCUCCGAUCCGAACUGAGAGUUGAAUCCAGGAGUAGUAGUGAUCAUCGCGUCUUAGUGACGUAAACAUUGAUGGUGAGAGUGAUUUAUUCCAAUAAUUUUAACUUUAUUAUCAAGAUUUUAAUUGAACGUCCUGCAUAUACAAAAACAGAAAAAAAUCUAACAGUAUAAAAAAAAAAUUGAAGAUAGAAUAGAUCGAAAUUUACGUAAUUGACUGUGUAUACGAAUGUAUUUUACUAUACGAAGAAGUAAAAGGAUAACUAAGCUUACACAUUAUAUCUUCUAUAAACUAAAAAUUAAAAGCUUUAUGGUCAAAUCCAUGCAUCUUUCCUCAACUACGAAAUAAGUAGAAAGAGUUUCUUAUAAUUAAAAUAUUUAUUAAAGAAGACAAAUCCGAUAAACAGUUAAUUAAUUAAUUUACUGCAGCCGAAUAAAUCUCAUCCCUGCCGUGCCCGAAACUCCUUCCCGCCGAUCCUCUUAAAGCGGUUGAGAAGAUGAGUCGCCGGAACUUCGAUUAAUCAUCCGGACAACGUAAGAAAGCCGCCUCCACGUCGCCUUCCCACCUACUGCUUAAUUAAUUAGCUUGGCGUUACCUACAUAUACGUAUACCGAUAUAGAGUUGAGCCGGAAUCUAUAUAUUACGGACACUUCUAUCAGCCUCGCAUGUCCGUAACGGGCACUUGCGUGUCCGUGUUAGAAACGUGUCCAAUAUGGACACUCUUUAAACGCAUGUUUCUGUUAGUAGCCGAAUCUUCCCGACCCUUGACCCGGUCAAAUAUCCUCCUCGGGCAGCACGUCGGGGUGAUGAGCGGCUGCGAACGAUGACCCUCGAAGUUUGCGCCCUUCGACAGAUCAAGCGAUUCGGCUGAUGAGGGAUCGAAUCAGCCGAAUCCAAAAACCUCUAUAGUAGAUUCGGUUCGACUAAAAUGAGCCGAAUGUAUGGACUGAGCCAGGAUUGAGGUCGGCCGAUGAGCCGAACGACUAAAGAACACAAAGAAAACGGAAACUGAUCGACUCGAGGAGCCGAAUGCCUCUAUAUUGAUUGACUGGAGAGAGAAGUACAAAGGCGGAUAUGAAGUUUACAACGGAGUGAUGCCCGUAGGGCAGACAGACUCCAAGAAUCUAACUUAAAAAACUAUUCCCAGGAAAAAUCAAAAUUACAAGUAGAUUACUACUAGAAAGUGUAGGAAAUUGCGUGGAAGAUAAAAGCGGUCUUUUGUGCACAGGGGCAAAGACCUCUUUCUUUUAGGGCGUUAUUGGCCUAUUUAUAUGUCGCCCUUUGAUCAGUUACUCAUUUUUCACGAUCGGCCAUGACUUCCUAAUUCUUCGGACCACUUCCAGCCGAUCGGAACCGCUUACAACCGUUUGCGGUUACUGUAACCCCCUCGAUCUAGCGCGGUUCAUGCUUCCCUUAAUGCUCCCGGCGCAUAUCGAAACUGUGGCUCUUGCAUAGACUUGGCGUGCCAGCUGUCCAUGCCGAAUUGGCUCAACAAUUGCCCCCUCGAUCGGCAGCUUUUGAAGCGACGCUUCGGUAGCUGGCGUCUUCCAAGGCAUGAUUACUUUUCAAAUUCCUAGUGUUGCUCUGUCUCAACUAUUCGUCUCCUCUUAUGCCGAAAUUCUGCCAUCGCUUCAAGAUAAAGCGUGAUCCGAGGCGUAUUUUUUGGUCCAAUUAAUUUCAAACCUUCUGAGCACUUUUCCACCCAAAGUACGAUUAGGUUUCGGCCGUUCAUUUUUCUUUAUGGCCCUGAUUUUACCCUCGAUUUUUAUCUUACAUGCGGUAUUAAUUAGGUCAUUUUAAUUACCGUCGUCUAAUCAUCAUUAUAGCCGACCUCGGAAUUCGUUUCGACACGACGGCUAUCUUUCCUUCUUCUUCAACUCUUUAUCUUUCGUUUUCAUCGCUUUCUUUUACUUCUUCUUCGUUUCUUACAACACUUCAUCCCUUCCAUCGAACCCCUUUCUCAUCUUUCUCUCUUUUGAGUAAUGGCACCGGUUCCGCCUCUUCCUUCUCAUCCGUCCCUGGAUUAUACUAUGCUUAAACCCUUUAUCGAUUCAGACUCAUCUCGAUUUAUUUUGGGUCCUUCUUUUAUAGACGUGCUAUCCCUUAUUGACUUACUCUUUUCUAGCGACGGUCUUCCCCUGAGAAAAGCUAUUCACCUUCAGUCUUGGUACUCUUCAGCUUCAACAGAGAAGAGUCUUCGAACCUGGCCAAGUAUCUCAGAGGCAUACUUAACCUGGUUAGAUAGAGUAGAAGCCGCCUUUGGUGACUUUUGGCGGAAGGUUGGGAUAUAUGAAGCCAUUCAAUUAUCUCGGCAUCCUCCUAUUGCCGAUAAUCUUCUUCUAGCCGCCGCUCUAUGUUUUUGGUCCCCUGCCUCUAAUAUUUUUCUUUUUAAAAGAGGACCUCUUACUCCCACUCUUUUUUAUGUUACCGUCAUUACCGGCUUGCGCCCUCAUGACGUUACUGUUUCUAUGUCUUAUAAUUCUGACAGCGUAUCUGAUUUUGAGGAUCGUUUAGACCUCAAUGACCUGGCUUACUCCAAGUUUAUCCGCAGAUUCGCAGGUAAAUCCCCUGCUCCUGUCACUAGGAAAGAACAUACAGCAUUCCUCCUUUAUUGACUAUGUCACAAUUUCUUCUGUACUCGUUCACAGAAGAUCAAUCAUGACUUUGUUCCAAUCGCCGUUGGUUUGUCUAACGACGAUAGAUUAACUCUAGGGCCUUAUUUUCUUGCCUUUGUUUAUAGAGAAAUCUUUUAUUCUAUCAAAAUACUGCAUUCUGGAGAUGGUAUUGCCAUCAGUUCUGGCUGUGGCGUUUUCUGGUUUCUCCAAAUAUUUUUGUAGUUCUAUAUUCCCGCUUUAUGUCAAUCUCCUUUUAACCCGACUUCUGUUGCCCAAUUUGAUUCUUAUGGGUUAGCUCUCGGCUGUCCGCAACCGAUGACUCCGAGUCAACCUUCUGACUUUCUUACUUAUUUUAAAACUUUUUAUAAGCCGAGUCCUGAAUCGGCUAUUUUCUAGACUCCCUUUGCUAACCGUCUUACUGGUCCCUCCUGGUUCCUUGCCCGAUUUGAAGCUAUCCAAGGUGAAUUGGCCUCUUCUCGCGCCAGUGAGUACUCAGAGAUAUGGUACUCUUAUUUGGCUCCGAGAGAUCUUCAUGUGGGGUUAAAAUCGCGCUCAAAACUAUUACCAAGCACUGAAGUUUAUUCCCCUCAGUAUGUGGCCUGCCAGUUUGGAUUUGUUCAGCCGAUUCCUGCUCCAUCUAAAUUUUGUACAACUAAUACAGCCGAUCAUCGACCCGCUAUUAAAGGUAUAGCCAAAACUGAUAAGAUUUCGGCUAUGGAAAAUCGCCUUCGUCGAUUCUUUAAAUUUGUAAGCUUCAGACAGAACUACACAGGAGUAGCUCUUGCCGGCUAUGCUACCAUUUGGGAUCAUUUUACUGAUCGUCUUCUUGACCUUUCUCUUCUUCGGGCAUUUCGUAGAACUAUUCAUCCAUUUGUUUCAGUUGAUACUCCUGCCUCAUCGUCAAGAGAAGGAAUAGAAGAAGCUUCUGAUCACAUCUCUAAUGCCCAGCCUUCUUCUUCUGUAAUGUAUCUAUCCUUAUUUUAACUUUUCUUUUUAACAUUCCCAAUACUUACUUUCCUUCUGUUUCCUUUUUUCUGCAGUCAAUUCCAGUUUCUCCAUCGGUCUCAGUUUCAGAAAAAAAAAAAAAAACCGAUUGAGACCGCUCAAUCUACUCCCCCGCUGCCUCCAAAAUGGCGUAAAUCAGUUGCUAAAAGGCCCCAUUCCAAGCAAGCUGAAAGUAUUUCUGCGGCUAAUGUAAAGAGAAAAACUGAGGAAACACCACCAGCCCCUGUUCCCGAAAAAAGAGCCGAAGAAAUGCCUUCGGCUGAUGCCUUAAGAUAAGAAUUUGUUUCUAAUGAGCCUAACAUGAGGGUCGUCGAGGUACAUCAUCAACUUGAGUAGUUGAUAGUGUCUAAUUAUGAGUUGUGGGUGGAUUUUCUAUAUUAAUGUUGGAACUCUGAUAUCUUCAUUUGGCAAUAAAAUUGUGGUCGAUAAUAUAGAAUCAUCAUACGUGACAUCAAUGGUAACAGUGGUAGGAGGAUUAACAAUGUCAUUUUGGUUAUUUGCUGGAGUAGAGUGAAAAGGAAAAAUAUUUUCAUAGAAGGUGACCUGACGACAAACAAAAAUCUUACCAUAUUCAAUGUCAUAAACAUUUUGUCCCAUAGGAUAUCCAAGGAAAAUACAACGCUUGGCUCGGGAGUCAAACUUAUGUUUGUGAGUAUCAACAUUCCAUGCAUAACAUAAAUACCUAAAGACAUGUAAAUGAUCAUAAUUAGAUUUAGAAUCGGAAAGUACUUCAUGAGGAGAUUUGCCAUCAAGAAUAGGUGUAGGAAUCUUGUUUAUUAAGUUGUAGUGAAUACACACUCUUGGAAAAAAUUAAUAAGAAGAAUGGCUUGAAAACUCAAUACUUGUGCUACCUCAAAAUGAUGACGAUGCUUAUGCUCGACGACCCCGUUUUGCUGAGAAGUAUGAACACAGGAUCUUUGAUGAAUUAUUAGUGAACACACACUCUUGGCAAAAAUUAAUAAGAUGAAUGGCUUGAAAACUCAAUACUCGUGCUACCUCAAAAAGAUGACGAUACUUAUGCUCGACGACCCCGUUUUGCUGAGAAGUAUGAACACAGGAUCUUUGAUGAAUUAUUUUAUACUCUUGAAAUAACAAUUGUAUAGGUUGAGACAAAAAUUCUAACCCAUUAUCAAUCCUUAUUUGUUGGAUAUUGCAACCAAAUUGAGUAUGCACUAAAUUAAUAAAAGCUCACACAAAUUUGUAUUUUCAAAUUUGUAUCGCAUGAGAUAAAUCCAUGUACAAUGUGAAUAAUCAUCAACUAUGCUAAAAAAAAUUAUGUGCAUCAGAAUAAGAUGGAGUAGAAUAACCUCUCCAAAUGUCACUGUGAACCAAAUUGAAAAUCAAACAACUUUUACUCAAACUAGAUUGAAAGGGCAAAUGAGUUUGUUUAGCAAGAGUACAUGCAGCACAAAAGUCAAGAGAACAAGAAUAGCCAUGAAAAUGAGAAAGGGAAAGGAAGCAAGCCUGUGUUUUUAAGGAUGGACUAGUCUCUGAUGCCAAAGAUGACUCAAUUUAUUUCAAAUGGCUGCAACAACGUACGAGUGGUUGAACAAAAUGAUGUAAUUUAUCAUGCAACUUCAUCAACUCCAAUCAACUUUCUCUGUUUCUCAUUGUCAGGUCCUGAAAUAUACAAAAAGCCAGAGAAAGUAUGGUAUAAUUCAUAGAACUAAUUUUUAGUCUUUUAAUUUUAGACUACUCAUUUGAUAGGUAAAUAAUGUCGAAAAAUUAUAAAAUUUGAUUUUCGAAUACUUUCAAUAGUGUAGAUUAACUCUAACAAAGCUGAUCAUCGAUUCAGAAGCUGCAUCAUUGAAAACAACUUGGUAGCAUGAAAGCCUCCUUGCUACCGAUAAUGUAGUAGCCUGUCUAUAUAUAUAGAGAGAGUCCAGCUACUAUACUCUUAUGAGCACGAUCGCCCUCGUACUCAUAAGUUGUUUUCGCUGAUAGAGCUUCCGAAUCAACGAUCCACACCGUUAAACGUUAUCUAGAGCAUUUAAAACGUCUAGAAAUCAAAUUUUAUAAUUUUUCAACAUCAUUUACCUUACAAUUAAAAGGUCACAAAAUUGACAAUUUUUAACGGCCGGUAUGAAAUAUUUAUUAGUUUAACGGUGUAAAAGAAUUGAAAUUGGUUGAAUUUUUGAUAGAAAAUUCUAUUCACUACAUAGAUAGAGAUCAAUAACUCUGAUCUUAAAUUGAAGGAUCUGAUCAUCCAUUUUUAAGACGUCGUUCGAUUUUGGCCGUUCAUUUUAUAUCUGCUUGAUGAACUUUAUUAUGAUUUCGAAAAAUUACGAAAUUUAUUUUCUAAAAGUUUCAAUUACUCUAGAUCAUAUUUAACGGAGUGGAUCGUCGAUUCGGAAGCUCAAUCAUUGAAAACAACUUAUGAGCAUGAAGGGCUCUAUACUCAUAAGAGUAUAAUAGCCAUAGCCUAUAUAUAUAUAUAGAGUUGAGCUAUGAAACUUUCACAAGUAUCACCAUCAUGGUGCUAUUAGAUUUUAAGCCGUUGGAUCUACUUUUUGAUUAUUAAUAGCCCUUGGAUUAAACACUAUUCCACCUACCACCACCUACCACCAUCAUCUCAACCUCACAUCUCUCCAUCCAAGGACUAAAAACACACAAGUAUCACCCCAUGAUACUUUUACAAGUAUUCUAGCCCUACUCUAUAUAUAUAUAUAUAUAUAUAUAUAUAUAUAUAUAUAUAUAUAUAUAUAUAGAGAGAGAGAGAGAGAGAGAGAGAGAGAGAGAGAGAGAGUCCGACUGGUAUACUAUUGGUAGCAUGGAAGCCUCCGUGCUACCAAGUUGUUUUUGAUGAUGCAGCUUUCAAAUCAACAAUCGUCUCCAUUAGACUUGAUCUACACUAUUGAAAAUAUUUGGAAACUAAAUUUUAUAAUUUUUUGAUAUUAUUUACCUAUCAAACGAGUAGUCUAAAAAUGAAAUGCUAAAAAUAAAAAUCUUUUUAAAAAAUUAUGAUAAAAGACUUGAAUUUAAAAUCAGAGAUACUGAUCUUACUCUAAAUAGUAAAAAAAAAAAAUUUAUAAAAUUUUCAUCAAAUUUAAAUUGUUUUACACCGUUAAAUUCACAAACGCAUCACAUCUGCCAUUGAAAUUGUCAUUUUUAAGACCUUUUGAUCAGUAAACAAAUAAUGUCGAAAAGUUAUGAAAUUUAGUUUUCAAAUAUUUUCAAUAGUGUAAAUCAAGUCUAACGGAGUUGAUCGUUGAUUUGAAAGUUGAAUCAUCGAAAACAACUUGGUAGCAUGGAGUUCUCCUUACUACCGAUAAUAUACCAGCCUAAUUCUAUAUAUAUAUAUAUAUAUAUAUAUAUAUAUAAUUAGACUGGAAUACUAUUAAUAGUAAAACGCUUUUUUGCUAAUCAAUUUUAACCCUUGGAUGAAAAAUUAUAGGGUUAGGAUGAUAUUAAGUUAGUUAGAGUUGUGGUCCCACUGGGUUAUAGUAUUUAAUCAAUGGUUAGAAAUGAUUAAAUAGUUGAUCCAAAGGCUUAAAAACUGUAGCAACAAUAAAUUUUGCUACUAAUAGUAGCCCAGUCCAACUCUAUAUAGAAUAGACUGGAAUACUAUUAAUAGUAAAACCUUUUUUUGGCUAUCAAGUUUUAACCGUUGGAUGAAAAAUUAUAAAGUUAGGAUGAUAUUAGUAGUUAGAGUUGAGUGGUCCCCACUGGGUUAUAGUAUUUAAUCCAAUGGUUAGAAAUGAUUCAAUGAGUUGAUCCAAAGGCUUAAAAACUGUAGCAACAAUUUUUAACUUGGCCGUUUAGAUGAACCUUGCUAGUUUUAACGGUGUAAAAGAAUCGAAUUUGUUGAAUUUUUCGAUAGACAAAUUCAAUUCACUACAUAGAUAAGAUCAAUGAACUCCGAUCUUGAAUUGAAUGAUCCGAUUAUCCUUUUUUUUAGAUGUCGCUCGAUUUGACCGUUCAUUUAUUGCCUACUUGAUGGACUUUAUUAUAAUGAUGUGGCCCCUAGGCUUGAGUAGGUAGUUGGUUGAAUAGUAUAAUCUAACGGGUAAAAAUAAUCAAAGGAUUAGUUUAAUGGUAGAAAACUUAAUAGCACCAAGUGUUUGUGCUAUCGAUAGCAUAGCAGCCGGACUCUCUAUAUAUAUAUAUAGAGAAGAGAGAGAGAGUCUAGCUACUAUAAUCUUUUAUGAGUUUGGCUCCAUUACACUCAAGUUUUCGGCCUUAGAUUUAUUCUAUUGAUCAUUCCACCUGUUAUAAAUCAUACUAUUCAACCAACUACCCACUCAACACUAGAGGACCACUAUCAUUCUAAACAAGGACCCACCUCAUCCUAACCCACUACAUUCUAUAAUCAACCAGUUAAAAAUUUAUGAGUAUACAGGGAGGUCUACACUCCUAAUAGUAUAGUAGCUCCACCUAUAUAUAUAUAUAUAAUAUAUUAUAUAUAUAUAUAUAUAUAUAUAUAUAUAUAUAUAGAGUGAGGCUACUAUGCUAUCGGAAGCAAUGGCCUUCCGUGCUUCCAGCUCGUUUCGAUGUUGCGACUUUCGAAUCGCUCGAUCGGCUCCGUUAAACUUGAUCUAGAGUAUUCUGAAGUACUAGAAAAUAAAUUUAUGAUUUACGAUAUCAUUUGCCUGUGAACGAAGGGCUCAAAAUCAACGGAUGAAAAUAAAAAUCUUACAAAAAUGUAAUAAUAGACAUUGAAAUUUUAAAUCAAAGAUAUGAUCUUGUUUUAUAUAGUAUAAGAAUUUUCUAUCAAAAUUUCAUGUGAUUUGGAUAUUUCUACACCCGUUAAACUUGCAAACGCUCACUACGGCAUUGAAAUUUGUUGAUUUUGAGCCCAUUCGAUCACUAGGCAAUUGAUAUCGAAAAAUAAUAAAAUUUAUUUUCUAGGUACUCCAAAUACUCUAGAUCAAGUUAACGGAGCCGAUCGACGAUUCGAAAGUCACAACAUCGAAAACGAGCUGGAAGCACGGAAGGCUCCGUGCUUCCUAUAGCAAGUAGCCUCACCUCUAUAUAUAUAUAUAUAUAUAUAUAUAUAUAUAUAUAUAUAAUAUUAGGUCUUGUGUGCUAUUAGGAGCACAGAGGCCUCCGUGCUCCCUAACCGUUUUCAAAUGAUAGAGUUUUCGAAUCGACGAUCAGCUCCGUUAGAUUUGAUCUAACAUAUUUGAAGUAUCUGGAAAAUAAAUUUUGCGGUUUUUCGAUAUUAUUUACUUACUAAUCGAAAGGGUUUAAAAUCAACAAUUUUUAAUGGUUGAUGUAUACCGUUUGCAAAUUUAACAGGUGUAGAAGUAUUCAAACCAGAUGAAAUUUUGAUAGAAAAUUCUUUAUAACUAUUUACAGCAAGAUCAAUUCUUGAUUGAAAUUUAGUGCUAUAUCACACCACUUUUUUGUGAAUUUUUAUUUUCAGCCGUUGAUUUUGAAUCCUUUUCGAUCGCUAGUAAAUGAUAUCGAAAAAUCGUAAAAUUUAUUUUCUAGAUACUUCAAAUAUUCUAGAUCAAGUCUAAUGAGCCGAUCGUCGACUUCGGAAGCUCCAUCAUCGAAACACGCUUAGAGUACGGACCUCCCGUGCUCCUAAUAACACACAAACCUGCUAUAUAUAUAUUAUAUAUAUAUAUAUAGAUAAGAGGAGAGAGAGAGAGAGAGAGAGAGAGAGAGAGAGAGAGAGAGAGAGAGUAGGGCUACUAUACUCUUAUGAGUAUAGAAUCCUUACUACUCAUAAGUUGUUUUCGAUGUUGGAGUUUUCGAAUCGACGAUCGACACCAUUAAACAUGAUCUAGAGUAUUUGAAACUUCAAGAAAAUAAAUUUUAUAAACUUUCGAAAUCAUUAUAAAGUCCAUCAAGCAAGUAUAAAAUGAACGUUUAAAAUCGAAUGACAUCCUAAAAAUGAAUGAUCAAAUCCUUCAAUUUAAGAUCGGAGUUAUUGAUCUUUAUUUAGGUAGUGAAUUGAAUUUUCUAUCAAAAAUUCAACCUUUUUCGAUUCUUUUUCACCGUUAAACUAGCAAAUAUCUCAUACCGGCCGUAAAAAAUUGUCAAUUUUGUGACCGUUUGAUAGUAAGGUAAAAGAUAUCGAAAAAUUAUAAAAUUUAAUUUCUAGAAGUUUUAAAUGCUCUAGAUAAUGCUUAAUAGUAUGGAUCGUCGAUUCGGAAGCUCUAUCAUCGAAAAUAACUUAUGAGUAUGAUAACUUAUGAGUAUGAGGACGAUCGUACUUAUAAGAGUAUAGAUAGUAACCGACACUAUAAUAUAUAUAUAGAAGAGAGAGAGAGAGAGUGUGAGAGGCUACUAUGCUAUGCGAACACGGAGCCUUCCGUGCUUGCCAAGCCUUUUCGAUGUUGCACUUUCGAAUCGUCAAUCGCUCGUUAAACGAUCUAGAGAUUUGAGUACCUAGAAAUAAAUUUAAUUAUUUUCGAUAUCAUUUGCCUAGUGAUCAAAUGGGCUCAAAAUCAACAAACUUCCAAUGCCGUAGUGAACCGUUGCAAGUUUAACCGUAUAGAAAUAUCCCGAUCACGUGAAAUUUUAUAAAAAAUCUUUAUAGGCUAUAAUAACACAAAUCAAUAUCUUUGAUUUAAAAUUUGAUAUAAGUCAUAAGUAUUACCUUUUGUAAGAUUUUUAUUUUCAGCCGUUGAUUUUGAGCCUCUUCUUCACUAGCAAAAUGAUAUCGUAAAAUCAUNNNNNNNNNNNNNNNNNNNNNNNNNNNNNNNNNNNNNNNNNNNNNNNNNNNNNNNNNNNNNNNNNNNNNNNNNNNNNNNNNNNNNNNNNNNNNNNNNNNNGUGUGUGUGUUGUGUGUGCGUGCUUAGCUAUCUGGCUCUCUGGAAGCACGCGAUGCGUUCCGUGCUUCCAAGUCGUUUUUCGAUGUUGAGGACUUUCGAAUCCGAUGCACUCCGUUAGACUUUGAUUUAGAGUAUUUUAAGUAUUUAGAAAAUAAAUUUUCGUUUUUUUUAGAUAUCAUUUCCAUAUGACGAAGCGAAAUCGCAUUAUUUCAUGCGAUUUCGGCGCUUUUAUGGUCCGUCUACACAAACUAGGAGUCAUUCAGCCAAACCGAGACACCUACUGACAGGUCUCGGCGUGCCGGAGGCCGUGCUCACCUUUCGGAGCAAUUCCGGCCAUUGUGGGGAGCGCACGAGCGACGCGAAAUUCAGUAAACUGCGCACUGAAACUAAAACACAUGUAACUAACUCAUCCGGAGCUCUAUGACCCUAAGUGAGGUGAGCACUGUGAUCAGGACUGACAGACUAUCACCGUGCUCACCCCCGGAGGCAUCGGAACAGCCUCGGGUCGCCGGAACAGUGACUAGAACAGGAAAUCAUGUACAGAACAGCAAAAACAUUGCUUACCGGCCAGGGCAGUGCUAGGGCUGGCCGGCGGCGGCCGGACGGCGAGCGCUUCGGCCGGAGAUGGGAGCAGCUGGUCCAAGGGGUCCGGGUCACCUGCUGGCCGGCGGCGGGAGGCGGCCAGUGGAGCGGCGGAGGAGAUCAAGCCGCGGCUUGCUCUCGGGUUCCAUGUGUUCCCGGCGGCGCGGCGGCGGCCGGAGGAGGUCGGGGCGACGGCGAUCCAUCGCCGGAGGCCGUAGGAAGGGUGGUGCUCCCCGCUGUGGGCGGCGGCGACGCGCGGAUUGGAGGGAAGCCCAGCCUCGGCCCGCACCAAGUCUGGGCGGCUGUAGGAGCUUCAGGCGGCGGCCGGCGGUGGUCGGGGACGCCGGGAAACACGCGCGUGAGGUCGCCGACAGCAAAGGGAGGCGGGGCGGCCCGCCUCGAGGCGGAUGCGGCGCACGAAUGCAAAGAUCGCCCAGGCUCGGCCUGGGUGAUUGCAGGUGGCCGCAGGGAGCUUGGGCGGCUUCGGCGGCGUGCGCAGGCGAUAGGGCCGGCGGCAGAGGUCGCCGGGGCUCCGGGUAAGGGCGUCUCGGCCGUCCCAAAGUGGCGGCGGCCGUGCUAGCAGGGAGCUAAAGCUCCUGGGCCAGAUCUGUCUAGAUCUGGCCGCAGCCUGCCUAGGCGGUGGCGGCAGUGCGUAGGGACGACUGGGACGGCGCCGGGGCUUCGCCGGAGGUCGGGCAUAGCCAGGGGACAGGGGCCCGAGGGUGAUGAUCUCCCAGGUGGUCCUCGGGCAGGGAUGGAGAGGUGGAUAGAUGGAUGUUGAGAGAGAGAAGGAUGGAGAGGGGUGGCCGGGUUCAAGUUUUCCGGCGGCCGGGGCACCUGCCGGCGGCCGGGGUGCGAGCAUGGUUAGGGCAGGGCUACUCUGAGGUCGGCUAGGGCACAGAUGGGGCGCUGGGUCGAGUAGAUCUAGGGUUUCGUGCAUAGAAACCCUAGAUGCACUUUGAAUACCAGGUGCAAUUUUGCACAAAAGUCCACCGAAACUACAAAUUUCCAACCUAGUCCUUCACAAUGAGUAACUCUCGCGCUUUUGCACCUCCACAAUCGAUCUCGCGCGAUUCGGUACAUAAAAUAUCACAACUUUUGCGGAGUUUCCGAUUUUGCCAAUUCGACCCCUCAGCGAACAUUUCGCGUUUCCUGAAAAUCCGUCCGUCGGAUUUUCGAUCCGACAACACCAUUGCGUUCAGCGCGUCGGGUGCAUCGAAUUUAGCAUUUCGUUUCGUCCGAUUUGACCUCCGAUUCACGACGAAAUCCAUCCGCUCUCCAAAAGGCCAAAAUGAUGCACAAUUAUAUAAAACAUGUAUUUUCAGAUUUUCUCGAAAACCGUGCAUCAGAUCUAAAAUCCGUCAGUGCCAUUGGUUCCAGAAUAGCUGAACCGUUCAAAACGACUAUUGGACCGCUAUGAACGAUGUUCCGAUACGCGCCGAAAGCCAACUUUACUCCGUGGCUUCACCGAAAAAGCGGAGUUACUAUUCACUUAAGUGAAAACUAAUAAUCGCGUAACUUCUAUAUUUUAGCUCAUUUUCUCCUGAAACUUGACGAGUGCUUAUGUAAUUAAAUUACACACAUAAACAUCAUCAACAGAAAGUUUAGUUGCACUGUAAAAAUCUCAGUCCUUAUUACUAUAUAUAUACUAUAUAUAUAUAUAUAUAUAUAUUUAUAAUAUAUAUAUGAUAUCGGCUCGAAUACUAUUAAUAGUAAAACGCUCUUUUUGCUAUUAAGUUUUUAACCCUUAGAUGAAAAUUUGUAGGGUCGGGAUGAUAUUAGUCGGUUAGAGUUAAGUGGUCCCCCUAGGGUUGAGUGAUUCCCACGGAGUUAUAGUAUGUAAUCCAAUGAUUAGAAAUAAUGAAAAGAGUUGAUCCAAAGGCUAAAAAACUGAUAGCAACAAUGAGAUUUUGCUACUAAUAGUAGUCCAGUCCAAUUCUCUCUCUCUCUCUAUCUCUCUCUCUCUCUCUCUCUCUCUCUCUCUCUCUCUAUAUAUAUAUAUAUAUAUAUAUAUAAUUUUUGAAACCAAAUACAGUCUGCACGUAAUUUAAUUAGUUUUCUACAUUCGAAUCAAAGUGCAGUUUUACAUGGACAAAAAAUGUUUGCAAAGAGCAUUGCAAUGGGUAAGCCGCGGGGAGUCCCCUACAAUAUUGUAGAUGAUCCAUCAUCAUUAAUAUUAUACUCUAACCAUUAUUACUAAAUCCCAAAUACCUUUGUUAAGCCCCAAAUACUAUUAUUAUAUCAUAAAUUUUAAACUCCAAAUUUUCUACAUGCACAUUCCAACACAUCAAUAAUAAUAAUAUUAUAAUAUGAUACAAAUUUUGAGGUAUAUUAAUAAGUAUUUUACUUUCGCAACUAUUUUUUUUAUUUGUUUAUGAGAGAGAUUAUUAUUAUUAUUAUAUUUACUGAUAAAAGAAUGGUCCUCACACGUGGUAUACCACAUCACCACCUCGUGUCCCUGUCCCUGCAUUCAUUGGGCCCUUUCCCGCUUGUUAGUACAAUAAUAACUAAUAACAACGCCCCUUCCGCUUCUGCAAAAGCCAUCUCGUUUCCAAUAAUAAUAUUAUUUUAUUUUAUCAAAACAAGUACAUAAACAUAACACUUUCCUUUUUUUCCUAAUUUUUAUUAAUAUUUAUUUAUUCGUAUUACUUUUCUCCUCUGCUUAUCCACCUCAGUUCAGUCCCAUGCGCGGUAUUUUUAAAAGUAAAUUCGCGAACAUGGCGGGAAAAUACACCCCCCCUUUUCCCGCCCGUAUUUCCAAGAUCCCUUUCACAUGCAAAAAUAUAUGAAUUUGUUACUGCACCAUUCGAUAUUGCAAGUUGGUUUCUGUUUUUUUUUUUUUUUUUUUUUUUUCAUUAAACACUUGACUUAGACAACAAAUUUAAGGCUUAUUGUUAAUAUUAAUUACUGAUGUUCAACUGCAUUGAAUUUUCAUAAGCGAAUUUUAGUACUGCUAUUAUUUUUGUUAUUUUUAUAAAGAGAGAUUAUUUCCGUUAGCAAUUGACUAGCUUAUAUUAAAAUCUCUGCAACUAUAGAUAAUUCUCACAAAAGUAGCACUUUCUUUUACUUUCAUUUGAAUUAUUUGGCAAAUAAAAUGGAAUAUUGUAUUCUCAAAAAUUGUAAAUUUAGUCGAAUUAUGCGCCUCAAAUAAAAUUAAAUCACAAUUAAGGAUAAGUCGAUCAAAGAAGAUAAAUCUCAGAGUCUGUAGAUCAACAGGCCCUGCAAAUUGAAAAUUUUGCAUACGUUUCAUCUUAAAAAAAAACGCCUUAAACAUUUUAUUGAUCAUUGUAUCAGUAUUUACAGUGCACUAAAAUUAAUAAACCCACGCAGGGACUGCAUCGCAAUAUUCGGAAAAUAAAGGGACUAUGCACGCAAUUUCCUACAGAAUCAUAUUACCGAUAACUUUUUUACAGUUUUUGUUUUAAAAAAAAGAAAAACUCAAACAUUCAGAUAAAAGUUUCGUAUUGAUCCUCAAACUUUUAAUUUGAACAUUAAAAACUCUAAAAGAAUUAUAUUUCGGUCAUGCACGAUAUAUUUAUUAUUGAUUAAUUUAUCUAUAACAUAUUACAGUUUUUACUAUUGAUUGAAUANUUAUUACUUGCAUCUAGUUCAUAUAUUUAUAAUUUGAUGAUUUUCUUUCUAAAUAAAUAAUAAAAAGUAUUGUUAUUCAAUCAAUAGUAAAAACUCUAAAAGAAUUAUAUUUCGGUCAUGCACGAUAUAUUUAUUAUUGAUUAAUUUAUCUAUAACAUAUUACAGUUUUUACUAUUGAUUGAAUAACAAUACUUUUUAUUAUUUAUUUAGAAAGAAAAUCAUCAAAUUAUAAAUAUAUGAACUAGAUGCAAGUAAUAAUUUUAACUCCACAAUUAGGACUACAAACAAGUUUAGGUACUUAAACGAAAUAUUAUUAAAAUUUACAGCCUCAAAUAUUGAAUCUAAAAAUUGAGGACGAAAAUAAAAAUCGUUAGCGUAUAGGAAAUUGAAAGUGUAAUUUACCCAAACUUAAAGGGGCAAAAGUGACAAAGCAUGCUUGCCGCGCCGAUCCUUUUUAUUUUAUUUGUUUAUUCAUUUAAUUAUUAAUUAAUUAAUUAAUUAAUUAAUUAAUUUAGGCUUCACGAAACUUCGGCGACCGAUCAUCCCGCGGGAAUCACGGGCGAGGUGAGCCGUGCGUCCGACACGUGGCGAAAUCGCGGAGGCAAAGCAGGUGAGAUCGUGCGGCUGUUGUCGCUCCGUUCAUGUGCGGAUAUUUCGCGUUGGAUAAUUUGCAUCGAUGUCCUUCAGAUUGCUCAUAAUGACAAAAGAACCCCAAACAUUCUAGCAAUUAAUAAACGGUUAAAAAUAUGUAAAUUGUGCUUAACAUUCCAUACACUAUAGCCGGAGAAAAUGUACCCAGUAAUGCUCGGCCGUACUUUAGCAAAAAAUAUCUAAAAUAUCUGCAACGGCUAAAAAAAAAACAAAUAAAAAAAUGGAAUAUUUUAAUCUUAGAAGUAAAAAACUCCAUGUGAUGCUUUUAAUUUUGAAAGAAGUUAUUAAAUAUAAAUGGUUAAAUUAUAAAAAUUCAUUCUGUAAAUAUCUGUUUUUUUUUAUUUUUACUUCAUAAUGUUUAAAAAUUUAUAUUUUAUUCUUUUAAAAUUUUAGACAUAUUUAUAGAGCAUACAACAUUAAUAAAGAGAGUAAAAGAAUCAAAUUAUCCUUACUCUUUCUAAAUAUAUAUUUUUAAAAUAUUUUUAUCAUUUUUAAACAUAUUUUAAGUAUAAAUUAUAAUAAAUUGACGGAAUAAUAAUUGAACUAUAACAAAGAAAGGCUAAAUACAACAAUUUAGAAUGUUGAGAGGGUAAAAUAUAAGAAGAAAAAAUAAAAAUAAAAAAUAAAUAUUUAUUAUUAGAAGUUUUUUUGUAAUUUAAACAAUAUAUAUUAUUUUAAUAAUUAUUUUAAAGUUAUUAUCAUAUACAUUUAGACGAUACUAAAUUAAACAAUGAUGUAUAUAAUAAUAGAUAAUAGAACAUAUAUCAUAUAAUCAUAUUGUAAGUUAUGCAAAAUUUUAAUUUGUUUAAAAUGUUAAUUAGAUUAUAUGAUCAAAAUUUUAUAUUAUAAGACUCCAAAUAGUCCUAUAUAUAAUAUAUAAUAUGGCUAGAACUCUUAAUCCGGUUUAAGUAUUUUGAAUGGUGGAAGAUCGAAGAGGUUAAGAAAGUUAGGCGUGCUAGGACGGAAAUAGUCAUAGGAUGGGUGACCCCUGGAAAGUUUAACUUGGAGCGUUACACUUUAAUAGUCCUAUACGUUUUCGUAAUUUUUACAGUACUAAAUAUGUUUAUAAAAGUAAAAUAAUAAAGUGUUAAAUUUAAUAUGCAGCUCUCAAACUAUAUAAGACAGGUGGCACUUUAGUCCUAAAACUUUGAUUUAAUUGUAAAGUUUAAUUCAAACUUUCCGUAAGUUUCAUAAUUUAAUUUAGUUGAUUAAAUUUUAGUACAAUUUUGAUAUAAAAAUAAUACUAUAUUUUAAAAUUUAUCGCACAUUAAUUAUAAUAUAUCAAAUAAAUUAGAUUAUAAAAUUUUAAAAAUUUUAAUUAAUUAAAAUUUUAGGGCCAAAAUAUCGCGAGCAUCAUUGUUUGAGGGUCGAAACGUACAACAUGUGUGACGCCCCAACUUCUCAGAGGAUCACCCAUCUUAGAACUAUUCCCGUCCUAACCGUUUGGAUAGGGGAUAAGGGGAGGGAUAACCUCUUAUCCCCCUUUAUACCAAAACACAAAUUUUUUUUAUCCGAGAAUAGUAAUUCUCGGAUACCUGAAAUAAGCUGGUAUAAUUAUUCCCACAAACACCUCUAUUUUCUAUAUAUAACUACCGACUAUUUUUCUUAUACCAUAUUAUUUAUCCAAACGAUAUUUUUCUUAUCCCCGAGAACAACCCAAUUUUCAUACAAACGCUAUUUUUAUUAUCCUCAUACUUGUACCUAUCCCUGUAAUAGCUAGUUCUUGCUUAUACCCGAACCAAACGCUUGGGUCAAGCCACCGGGUUAAUAGCUUUAGUUUUAUUAUAUCUUAUAAAUAGAACUAGCUGGGGUCUCACAUUCUCCACCCUUAAGUCCUGACAACGGCAGGUUGAGACUCAUAAAUAUCAAGCGAUGUGAGACUCGUCUCGCUAACCUAAACCGACCUUGUGAUUAGUUGCACUCCACCCGCAACAGUCAACGCCUAAACCGACCUUGUAGUGAGUUACACUCCACCCAUAACAGUUAACAACAUGAGAGGCUUACUCUCCCCAUUGUAUAAUACUAGUUCAGCCAAGACUCAUCUCAUACUUUUCGGCUAGUAAUUGACUCUAAUACCAUUUGUGAUGCCCCAACUUUCGUCCUACCAUGCUUAACUCUUUUAACCUUUUGAGUCUAACUACCACCCAAAAUACUAAAACUGGCUUAAGUGUUUUAACCCUAUUAUAUGAGGUCUCACAAUAUGCUAAAAUAAAUAAAUAAAGUAAAUAUCAACCGUUCCUAGCGUAAAUGGUAAAAUGCUUGGUAGUUGAUAUCUGAGGCUCUAAAUUCGAAUCCUAAUUUAUUCAUAUUUUCAGCUAAAUUUAUUUUUUAAAAAAAUAAACGGAACAAGUAUUAUGUUAUUUUUCUCUAUGAAAAAAAGUAAAAAUAAAAAAAGGAAAAACUUCAAAAGGAAAAACUUCAAAUACCACCUAUGUGGUUUUGCACCUUUUCACUUUAGUAACAUGUGGUUUAAAUUGUAUCAAUUUAGUACCAUGUGGUUUCGCACUUUCUCACUUUUGUAUCCUGUAGUUUAAAAUACAUUAAUUUAGUUAUUUUUCUCUUUUCGUGAGGUCCUCUGUUAAUAUUUCGUUAAAUUAUAUACAAAAAAUUUCAAAUAUACUAUCUAGGUUUAUCGAAUAUUUACUUUAGUACCCUUUAGUUUUAACUUUGUCACUGAUUUUUUUUCCUUCAAUAUUUCGUUAAAUUAUAUAUAAAAAAUUUCCGAUGCUACCUAGAUUUAUUAAAUAUUCACUUUAGUAACUUUUCAUUGAUUUAACGAAAAAAAUAAUAAAUGAAUAAAUAAGAGAAAAAUAAAAUCACAUAUUACUAACUUGAUACACUUUAAAUUAUAGAAUAUUAAAUUAAAAAAAUAAAAUUAUAAUGUACUUUAAAUUAAGUAGUACUAAAGCGAAAAAUGAAACACACGAGGUAUUUAAAGUUUACUCCAAAAAAAAAAAAAAAAAAAACCGAAAACUCAAAAUUCAAAAAGCGGUCAUCUCGCCGAGCGGCGGGGGCGGGACGUUUCACGUUUGCUUGUGGGAGCACCCGCACCGCCGCUCCCGUGCGGACGCCGCACGUGGUCUCUGACUCCGCAGAGUCACGUGACCCGCACCACGAUCGAAACGUGUUCCUCUCCCCCCCCCACAACGCCGAAUGCGCGCACGUGCCCGGCACGUGCCCCGACGCACCAUCCCUGGUCCCGCCGCCCGAGGCCAACGCCCGGCCAAUAACAAACCGACACGUCACCGGAUUCCCCGCGAUCGCCGUGUGCCUUUUCCGAAGGGGAGCGUAUGCGUUAACUUCCCAAAAUUACAGGAAUGCCCCUGUUUGGGAACGCCCUUAUUCAGGCCGUGGUCUCUCUCUAUCUCUAUCUCUAUAUCUCUCUCUCUCUCUCUCUUCCUAACCAGUAACCACUAACCACCUCCUGGUUAUUAUUUUAUUAGCGUUUUACAAGGGACGGUUGGUUGGUCCGUACGUCCACGUGGCGGAAUCCUAGCGAGUGAGGCCGUUAUCAGGGUAGGAGCUUUUGAGAGGGGGAGAGUGAAAUGACGGAAUUGCCCGCGGUGUCCGGCCCAGAAAUGGUGGGUUUUGGGCAUAUAUAAUAUAAAAAGCGUUUUAAAGUUGUAAUAAAUAAAUAAAUAAAUAAAUAAAUAAAUGGGAUGUCCGCAACGGAGGGAAUUUAAAGACGGAAGAGCGGGGGGAGGGGGGUGGCGACACGAAGGCGGUGGAGUCGUGGAUCACAGCAAUCGCUGCUGCAAUAAUAAUAACAAUUAUUAUUAUUAUUAUUAUUACUACUAUCUGUGGGUCGAUCGGCACAUUCACACUUAGGAUGCAAGCCAAGUCACCUGUGAACAUUGUAAAGAAAGUUUUGCAUACACCUAUGCACAGCCACCCGGGCAAUUUUUGUGCCAUGCACCACAUCAUUAAUUUAACUAUAUAUAUAUAUAUAUAUAUAUAUAUAUAAAGUUGAGCUAUGAUACUUUUACAAGUAUCACCAUCAUAGUACUAUUAGAUUUUAAGCCAUUGGAUCUACUUUUUAAUUAUUAAUAGCCCUUGGAUUAAACAUUAUUUCACCUACCACCACCUACCAUCAUCAUCUCAACCUCACAUCUCUCCAUCUAAGGGCUAAAAACACACAAGUAUCACCCCCAUGAUACUUUUACAAGUAUUCUAGCCCUACUCUAUAUAUAUAUAUGUAUGAUUCCGGCUAUUAUACUUUUAUUAGUAUAAGCUCUUUUUUAUUCAUAAAUUUUCAGCCGUUAAAUCUACCCCUUUGAUUAUUUUCAUCUGUUAUAUUAUGCUAUUUAACUAACCAUUCACUCAACCCUAUAGAACUAUUAUUAUCCAAAUCGAAAAGCACUAUUAUCCUAUUAUCCUAACCACACAUUCCUUCAUCCAAUUGCUGUAAUCUUAUAAGUAUAAAAGGAUCUAUACUUAUAAAAAUAAGAGUAUAGUAGCCUAGCAUAUAUAUAUAUAUAUAUAUAUAUAUAUAUAUAUAUAUUGCUAGGCCUCGGUAAUACUAUUGGUAGUAUGGAGGCCCCGUACUACCAAAUCGUUUUAAUGAUGUAACUUCUAAAUCGAUGAUCGGUUCCGUUAGACUUGAUCGUUACAUAUUAAAAGUAUUUAGAAACUAAAUUUCAUCAUUGUUCGACAUCAUUUGGCUAGUUGAUAAAAAGUAUUAAAAUUGACAUUUUAAUAAUCAUGUGAUGCAAUUUUUAAAUUUAAAUUUUUUAUCAUUAUUUUUAAUGAAAUUUUUAUAAAUUUUUUUUUUACUAUUUAAAGUAAGAUUAGUACCUCUGAACUUAAAUUUAAGUCUUUUAUCAUCAUUUUUUAGGAAAAACUUCAAAAACCGCCCUUGUGGUUUCAAUUUUUUUCACUUUAGUACCAUGUGGUUUAAAAUGUAUCGAGUUAGUACCCUGUGGUUUCUCACUCUAUCACUUUAGUACCCUUUGGUUUAAAGUGUAUCAAGUUAGUGCCCUGUGGUUUUGCACUUUAUCAUUUUAGUACCCUGUGGUUUUAAUUUUGUAUCAAGUUAGUACUCUGGAGUUUUUUAAAUCACAGGGUACUAAAGUGAUAAAGUGCAAAACCACAGGAUACUAACUUGAUACACUUUAAACCACAAGGUACUAAAGUGAUAAAGUGAGAAACCACAGGAUACUAACUUGAUAAACUUUAAACCACAGGGUACUAAAAUGAAAAAGUGUGAAACCACAUGGAGGGUUUUUGAAGUUUUUUCCAUUUUUUAUGAGAUUUUUAUUUUCAGCCAUUCAUUUUUAGACUACUCGUUUGAUAGGUAAAUAAUAUUAAAAAAUAAUGAAAUUUAGUUUCCAAAUUUUUUUAAUAAUGUAGAUCAAAUCUAAUAGAGCUGAUUGUCGAUUUGGAAGGUAUAUCAUUAAAAAUAACUUGGUAGCACAGAGACCUUCGUGCGACCGAUAGUAUACAAGUUUAGUUCUCUCUCUCUCUCUCUCUCUCUCUAUAUAUAUAUAUAUAUAUAUAUAUAUAUAUAUAUAUAUAAUACACCGGGUGUAAGAGUAUAGACAAAGAUCAUCAACAUUUCCCAACAUCUGAGGGGUGCAAUCGCAAAGUCCACGUGGCGACACGGGGGAAAGGGAGGCUCUAAUAAUUCUCCUUCUCCUUCCAACCACCCUUCCCACUCCGCGCAGUAAUAAUUCGGGGGCACAUCGCGUGAUGUAGCUGUCGAGUAUAUGCUGUACUCGGGUAUCGUUGUGAUCGAGAAGGAAAUUAGGCCUCAUAUAGCUUGCGAGACAAGCUGAGUGAAACGGGGAAUAUAUAUGUCGUAGUGUCGUACGUGUCAACUUUCCUUAAGUUUCUUACUCUGGUUUCAAAUUUUUUUAAUUUAAUUUGACAAAUUAUAGAUUUUAAUAUAAAUUAUUAUUAAUUAUAUUUAUAUUUAUAUAUUUGAUAAAAAGUACGAUCAAAUAUAUAAAAUUAAAUGCUAUUAAACCUUCAAAUUACUUUUUUGAAUAAGUUUAAUUAUCCGACAUCAAACAUGACCUAAAUAGAAACCGUCAGAUGAACAAAAAAUUUAUAGAAAUUUUUUUUUUUAAUCGUACGCUAAAGUAGAUGCAACCGACAAUUCUCUAGUUGGAGAUAAAAACUAAAACAAAAGUCAUUGACAAAAUAAAAUUUGAAACGGUAAACUAAAAAAAUGUGGACAAAUUCAAGUGCGAGUUAAAGUUUAUGGACUAGAGUGCAAUUAUAGCCAAUGGGGAUGGGGUGAGUGAGCAACGGGGUUGUUGACCAAGGUCGGGUCCAGGGGCGGGUGCGUUAGGUCAAGAGACAAAUAGAACACCGCUUCCCACGGCAUGUGGCGGGUCGUCUUGGCGUAAAGACCUGGGCUUCUCAAACUUACCCUCGGGUCAAAAUUCUACUGAAACGCCCCUCAACAAUACCCAUCCCCAACAUUGGUACGUUUUUUAAAUUAAAUAUUUUUUGUUAUUUUGGAAUUUUAUGAGUAUUCGAUCUCUUUUCUGAAUCUAAUAGUUUAUUAAUUAUCUACUAUUAUUACUCUUUUAGUAAAUAGAAGUGUAAGAUUUUUAACAGUUGCUUGGUAACGGAUAAAGUAUACUAAAAUUAUUUACGAGGAGUAUAUUUAAAAAAGAAUUAAUAGAAAAAUAAAGUGAAGGGUGUGUUUUAAAAAUAGUAAAUAGUUGGGGGGCUCUCAGUAUUUUUUGUCACCUUCAAUAUAUGCCGAGUAGAAAACGCCCAUCGCCGUUGGGAAUCGCUUGCCUCCAUCCUUUUUCCCACCCGCUUCCAAUUACUUACUGAGGAAACAUACAAACGCAGGGAGAGAAAGAGAGAGAGAGAGAGAGAGAGAGAGAGAGAGAGAGAGAGAUUAGGGUUUCGUAGAGGGGAAACGAAUCCGUUACAUCUCCUCGAUCGAUCGAGGGAAGAGAAAGGGAGCGGUAGAUCUCGAAUCGAAGGAGAAAAAUGGAGUGGAGGGGGAGCUUGGAGGAGCUUAUGAAUCGAAUGAACAACCCCAGGUUCGUAGCAUCUUUACUAGUUGUUGUAGUUCGCGAUCCAUGUGAUGAUCCCCUUCGUUGUCUUCUUCCUCGGAUUUGCUCCUUGAGCCCUUGCCAUGGCUCCGAUUUGAGCCCUUCCUUGUCGAUUCUUUGCUCGCAGGGUCGUUAUCGACAAUGCCGUGUGCCCCACCGCCACCCUCAUCAAGGUACGCUCCGAUCGAACCCUAGAUUAGCAGAUUUGGAGAAUAAGCCUUUAGGAUUCGUCGAGUUAUGCGGUGUUGUUUGUUAUCCUUAUUCUACAGGUGGAUAGCGCGCGGAAGCACGGGGUGUUGUUGGAGGCGGUGCAAACCCUAACGGACCUCGAUCUCUCGAUCCACAAGGGCUACAUCUCCUCCGACGGGCGCUGGUUCAUGGACGUGUUCCACGUCACCGAUCGCUGCGGCCGCAAGCUCACCGACGCGCACGUCCUCUCCUGCAUCGAGCACUCGCUCAACACCCUCGAAAGCGGCUUCGUCGGCGGCGGCGGAGGAGGGGGCGGCGGCGGCGGCGCCGGAGAGGCGGAUGUGGGUGACUUGACGGCGGUGGAGCUCACGGGGGCCGAUCGCCCCGGUUUGCUCUCGGAGGUGUUCGCGGUGCUCGCGGAUCAGCGGUGCGACGUGGUGGAGGCGAAGGCGUGGACGCACAACGGGCGCAUCGCGGCGCUGGUCCUCUUGCGGGACGCUGACUCCGGGUGCCCCGUUCCGGCCGACGCGCACCGCGUCGCCCGCGUCGAGGCGCGCCUCCGCAACGUGCUCCGCGGCUCCGGCGAUCGCGACCGCGACCACCAAGGGCGGGGUGCGCGAGCGCGCGUCUCCUCCGCCGCCCCCGCGGCGCGCGCCACCGCCUCCGAUCGGCGCCUCCACCAGCUCAUGUUCGCCGACCGCGACUACGAGCGCCGCGGCGGCCCCGGCGCCGGCGCGAGGGUGAGGGUGGGGGUGGAGAGCUGGGGGGAGAGGGGGUACUCGGUGGUGACGGUGGAGUGCCGGGAUCGGCCGAAGUUGCUCUUCGACGUCGUGUGCACGCUCACCGACAUGGAGUACGUCGUCUUCCACGGCACCGUCGACACCGACGCCGAUCGAGCUCACCAGGUCACCCCUCCUCUUCAAUUGUUUUCUUUUCGUUUAUUGGGUGCCAAAUUUAAAUUGGAUUAAAAUCUGGGUUUUUCUUGGGUUGAUGUGCUGCUAAUAAUUUGAAUAGGGUUACUAUUAGAGAUUUUCUUAUUUUUUUGGGUGAAAAUUUGAUGGAGAACCAGUCAACUAUAAGCCAUUUUGUAAUAAUAAGUGCAGCUCCUCAACUGCUUUUCAGUUUGGUUGGAUACAUUAAAAUUGGUUUAUUCUUAAUUUUUCUUGUUGAUUUGGUGCUAAUUUGAUUUCAUAUUGGGUUCCUUCAACUUUUCCUUUUUCUCCUUUUUUUUUUUGGGAAAAAUGCCAGAAGUUUUUAAUUUUAGGCCAUUUUUGAAAUAGACAGAUCCCUUAGUCCUUUUUUUUUUUUUAAAAAAAAUUCUCUAUUUUUAUGGAACUCGAUUCACUUGUAGGCCACUCUGUUCUAGUUCUUAUUAUUAUUUUAAUUCGAUUUUGUUUUAUAAUUAAUCGCGAAUUUGCUGAAAUUAUUCUAUUGGCUAUGAUUCUUCAACUGUCUACAAAAUUUGUAGUGAGAAAGUCCUCACGGCUAACUAAAUUUAAUUCAAGUGGUUGUGAAUUUCUUAAAAUUUUAUAUGUUAUAGAGGACAUUAUUUUGAAUUAAUAGAGUCCAAAGCUGAUCCGGCGAGUUGAACGGUCAGUUUCAAAAUGGUUGCUGGGUUCUCUGUAGAUGUUUACCUUUUCUGUGGGCCGCGAGAAAUGUGGAUUAAUCUAGAUUUUUUGUGGUGAUUUGAAAUUUGAAAUUUGAAAUUUAAAAUUUGAAUUGUUUUCUUUGUUUUCAUUGUUCACAGGAGUUCUACAUUAGGCAUUUAGAUGGGAGCCCCAUCAGCUCAGAAGCUGAGAGGCAACGCGUUAUACAGUGUUUACAAGCAGCAAUCGAACGCAGACAAUCGGAGGUAUUUUUCUUUUCCUAGAUCUCUUUUACAAAGAUAAAUGGUAAAGGAUGUAGUGGGACCACCUCACCUCAACUAUAUGCCUUUCUGAUAUAAACCCUCCAACUAUCUCUCUUUAAAUCUUAGAUCUUCUCAAUUUUUCAUUUUUUUUAUUGUUAUUUUUAUCAAGUAAAUUCGAAAUUUUGCUAAAUUUGUUUAGUAUAUCUUUGAAACGGUUUGUAUCAGAUUGCAGUGUGGGUUUGAUUCUUGCCGUUAACAUUAAGUCGACUUAAUCUGCAUCUCUUUUCUUAAUUGGAUAACAUUUCUAGACUCCUCCCUUUUUCAGAAGAGUGUUAGGAGGAUGAAACUGCAGAUUUAGGUAACUCUAUCUAAUUCAAUUUAGAAAUUAACUUAAAUCAAAGUAGUACUGAGUUGUUGCAGUGUCAAUUGAAGUAGAAAAUAAUGGAAGAGUAUUUGAAAAAUUACUCGCUGUUCAUGUGGUUCCUUAUACCACAUGUUUACCAUGAUAAAUUUGCCAGAGACAUCUCAUUUCCGUUGACGCUUCUCGGUGUUCCGGUGCAGGGUGUAAGGCUGGAGCUACGCACUGUAGAUCGGAGGAGACUCCUCGCUGACGUGACGCGGACAUUCCGCGAGAACGGACUCUCUGUGACGCGUGCGGAUGUGACAACGAAGGGGAAGAUGGCCGUGAACGAGUUCUACGUGACGGACACGAUGGGUAACUCGCCAGAUCCCAAGAUCAUCGAUGCAGUUAUCAAGAGAAUUGGCGAGGAGAACCUCCACGCCGGGGAAGAGGAGCGCUUGUCCCGGUUAUACUCCACCCGCGACGGGUCCAGCGCCUCUGCUGGGCUCUUCCAACUAGGUUCCUUGGUGAGGAGGAACCUCUACUAUCUGGGCCUCGUCAAGUCCUGCUCCUAGAGGCGAGGAACUGUUAUCUGGACCUAAGUCCACCGCUCAGCCUCAGACCGCCUAGCGAUAUAUAAACUUUUAUCCGAGUUUUCUCUUCAGUCGAGAAGUUGCAACUAGGUUCUCAAUGUCUAUUAGUUAUUUCAAUUAAGUCUCUUCCGCCAAAAAUUUGAAUAAUUCAGGCAGAAGUUGUCGUUGGUCGGUGAAUGCAGAUACCAUUGACAACUUUUGUCCGAAUUAAUGAAAUUUUUAGACGGAAAACGACUCUGUUGAAAGAAUUAAUACAUAUUAAGGAUCUAAUUGGAAUGCCUAAUCUUGGAAAACCUGGGGGCGAAUGGUAUGAUUUGUCCUUUACUAAAAAGUAGGUCGUGAUUGAUGGCAGAUUACUAGUUGGUCUGCCCCAGGCUGGCGGUGGAUAAGAUCUAGAGGACGGGUUCUCUCCUACAGGGUGGUGUAUUUUGUUGCACAUAUGCCUCUCCCUCCCCAUACUCCCGCUUGGAUAUGAUCCAAGGUAAUGCAUUGUUGUACAUAAAAUUAGGUUCUAGUUUUUAGUUGGGGGGGAAUGAAGGAAGGGGAUUGAUAUCUCACUAUUGUUGUUAUAAGCGUUGGUCUAUGGUUGGGUAGUUGCUAGUGUUUGUAUCUCUCCUUUGUUACAAAAACUCACAUUACUGUCACACGCACCAGCACACAUACAGGAAGGAGUACUGUAGACUUUGUACAUAUACCAUACCUGAUGAUAUUGAUAGCUACAAAUAUUGUUUGACUACCCAAAAUAUUAAAUUCUCUAUCUCUCUCUCUCUCCUCUGUGUGGUACUGUUUCUAGAUUUCUAGAAUCUUUUUGGGUUUUCUUGUGGUCUACUUGUAUUUGCCUGGUCAGAUUAAGGUGGGGUCUUUACUUAAACCCAACAACAUAAACCAACAGCUUGGCACCUACCUCACCUGCCUAUGUACGAAUGAAAACCAUUGUGAUUGGUACCGAGUUUGGAGGGGGUUAGUAGUUGUGUGUUCAAUAACCAGGAGAAUUAGGAGUGGUAGAUCACCGACCACAACAAUGACGACGGUGAUGAUGCAAUUAAACUUAUUUCUUUUUAAUGAUCACUAAUCCCUUCGAAUUAGAGAAAGCGACGGGCGGGUGGUUGUAGCGCCUGUAGGGAACAAAGUGUGCGUUGAUGCCGCUGUUCUCGGCCGAUCGGACCGACUAAUCGGCGUUGAAUCGCGCAAACCCUUUUCUGUAAUCCGUUGUCUUUUUCUUUAAUGACAUUAUUAGUAGGGUUGAAUUUUGUUGAUGUUUCUGGAGAACGAUAUAAUCGGCAUAAAGAAUUGUAAAAAAUUAAGACAUGGUAUUUUAUUAGAUGGUUCUGGGACAGCAUGCAUGCUCUGGAAUUGAAAUGAAUGGUAAAAUUUAAACUUUCCCUCCCUUUCGUAGCAGGUAUUCUUCUCAUUAUGGGGCAAGGGAUUUGAAGAUGAUAUAGUAUGAAUCCUAUUCCACAAGCAAAAGCUAAGUAUUUAAUACUAAAUAAAAAAGUCAACUCUUUUACGGGCCCAUAAAAAGCGAGAGGUUUCAGCUAAUCUGAAUUUGAAUUAUGGAAAAUUGUGGGAUUUAUUAGGACCCACCUGCAACUGAACACAAUUGUUUGAAUGGCUCGAUAAAGGGAUUAAAAAGAAGGCUCAUAUUUGAAAGCUAAUAAAAAAUAAUAAUAAUAACUCCCACCAAAAAAUAUUUCUAUGAUAUGAAAUGGUUUAGUAGUACUAGUUUUAACACUCAUAUUUAUGUGACUGUUAAAGACAUAAAUAAUAUUUGAUGGAAAGAGAUAUAAUAGACAAAAAUAUGUGCCGUAAAAUAAUGAGUGUGAAAAUCAAACCAAGAUCUUAGGAUUUGCCAUGUUGUUCUGUUCUCUUACCUAUAAAUUUUGUCUAGGAGCCAAACCAAAAAGCCAGAAAAUUUUGCCUUGUGCACUUAAUUUAGGGUUUGUGCUUCAUCGUAUGGUUUAAAAUAAUAGAACCCCAAAGGGUAUUAUUAAAGUAAUAUUUACUAUUUCUUUUACGCUUGAGAUAGUAAAUAUUUUUUUAGCAAUACCAUUCCCAAAAAGGAAACACAUAUUUUAGUAAUUCUUUUUAAUGGAUAGAAAAGCAUAUCCAUUUUUGGGUUAUAACACCUAGGUUUCUUCUGGUAGCGUUUGGUUCGGAAAUAAGGAGGAGAAUAAGCCCUUGUUCCCCCCUUUGUUACCAAACGCAGCGUUUGGUAUCCGAGAACAGUAGUUUCCGGGUUUCUGGAACUAGCUGGUAUAAGACUGGAACUGACUAGAACUGCUGUUCCACCUUUUUCCUGGAACAAGCUUGUUCCCGAAUGAGAACAAGGUUAAUUAAAUCUAAAUUUAAAUUUUAAUGAUAGUAAAUUAUUAAUUAAUCUAAUUAAUAUAUUUGAAUUAUUAUCUAUUGCUUAAAUAAUAAAAUAAAUAAAUAAUUAAUUAAUUAUAAUUAAUUAUUUAUAAUUAGAUAAUAAUAAUUAUUAAUUUAAUAAUUAUUAUUUAUUAAUAUUUAUUAAUUAAAUAAUAAUUAUUAAUAAUUAUUAUUCUUAAGAAAUAGAUAAUCGAUAUUAUUAUUAAUUUAUUAUUUAUAAUUAAUUAUUAAUAAUUAGAUAAUUAUUAUUAAUUAAUUUAUUACUUAUAAUUAAUUAUUAAUAAUUAGAUAAUUAUUAUUAAUUAAUUUAUUACUUAUAAAUAAUUAUUAAUAAUUAUUAAUAAUUAAUUAAUUAAUUAAUAAUUAUUAAUAAUUUAUUAAUAAUUAAUUAAUUUAUUACUUAUAAAUAAUUAUAAAUAAUUAAUAAUAAUUAAAUAAUAAUAAUAAUUAAUAAUUAUUAUUAUUUAUAAUUAUUUAUUAAUAAUUUAUUUAUUAUUUAUUUUUAAGUAAUAUUUUGAUGUUAAUUAAUUAGAUAAUAUAAUUUUAAUUUCAAAUUAUAACUUUUAUACCUCUCGUUCCAAUUUAACUAUCCAAACGCUAUUUACCUUAUUCCUAGGAACAACUCAAUUUUCAUCCAAACGCAACAUUGGUCUAGUUCCUGCUUAUACAUGAACUUGUACCUAUUCCUGGAACAAGCAAUUCUUACUUAUAUCUGAACCAAACGCAGCCUCUGAGUAUUUCUUUAUGUUAUCUUCUUAUUACCUUGUGCUUAUGCGCAAAUUUUAUUUAUGAAUAAUUUAUACGCAGGAACUCCUACUUUUCAGACUAUUUUAAGAGAAUAUCUAACUUUGUGAAAUUGCACAGCUUUAAACUUUUCUUGUUAUAAAAUGUCCUACUCAAAAUCUUACAAAAAAUUCAAAUAAAGAUUUGCCAAACAUUCAAAAAUUUCAUAAAUUUAAUAACUCUGUUAGAUGUUAAUUAAUAAUUAUUGCAAUUUAAUUUGCUAAAAAGUGAUUAAAAUAACUAAAUUUGGUAAAAUCUUUGAUUUAGUUGAUGAAGCUUACUUAAUUACGAAAAUAAAAAAAAAAAUUGAAGUUGAGGGGUCCAUUCCAAACUGUCCCAUUGGUACGUGAGUUGGAUCUUCAUACAUUGUUACGUAAACAAUAAUAUAAGAAAAAAAUUUAAAAGGCAAAACCCACCCAAGCACGUGAUCACUCUAAAAAAAUAAAAAAAAAUGGCCAAUCACGUCAAGUUUUAUUAUACGAAUGCAAAACGCCUUAAAAAUUUCAAAAGAAUUUCAAAUUUUAUAUUAAAUAAAUAUAAAUUAAAAACCUAAUUUAUAAUUUUAAUUAAAAAUAGGAGUAGAGCUACUAUGCUAUCGGAAGUAUAAAGUGGUUGGUGCUUCCGAUUUUUUAGUUCUUAGAUCAACUCCAUUGAUAAUUUCUAACUAUUGGAUUAAUAUUAUUAAUCAAUGAGGACCAUUCAACCCUAGGAGGAUAACUCAACCCUAAGGGGAUGGCUAUCAUCCCAACUGUAGAAUUUUUAAUCCAAGGGCUAAAAAUUCGGAAGCACCAACUAUUUUAUACUCCCGAUAGCAUAGUAACUCUACACUUAAAAAUAUGAUAAGUUCGUAGUCGAGUUAAAAUAUUUCUAAUAGCAUGUGAAUAAUAGAUGCUACUAAGUUUUUAAUCCUUCUUAGUGUCUAAGGUUUAUCAUUGAGUGAUAGUACCGGUAAAGAUUCGAGAGCUUUAAAAAAUUCAUACCGACCGUUCUAGAGCAAGUGGCAAAGGGCUUGGUGGUUGGUACCCGAUACCCAAGUUCGAAUCCUAGUUGAUUCACAUUUUCAGCUAAGUUUAUUUCUAAAUGAAAUAAACGAAACGGGUAGCAUGCUACCUAUCUCUCAAAAAAAAAAAAAAAAAAUCAUAAUAUGUAUUGUUUAUAUACUAUUAGAAGCAUCUAAGAUAGACUCUAUUAUAAGUUUUAAUCUAGUACGAUUAGCAAAUUUUUAGAAAGUUUAUUAUUUUAUAGUUUAUAUUUUGUUUCAUCAUGAAACAUGCAAUAAAAUAAAUUAGAAACGUUUUGUGCUUAAGAAACCAUAGACUUUGAAGAUGAAACUCCAUAGAACGGUAUUGAAGAAGUUAACCCCUAAUUUUUUAUACUAUGGGCUUAGUUUACUAUACAAAUAAAUAAAUAAAUACAUAAACAAAUAAAAAGCAAUGAAAUAAUGGCCUAGUCAUGGAUUAGAACAAAUGCCCGGUCCAACUGGUGUCCACGUGGCUGCUUAUAAUUGAAGUGUUACAACCAAUAAUUUAAUACAAAUAAUAAUUAAAUAAAUUAUGCGAUAAUUUUAACAAAUAAUUGAAUAAAUUAUUAUUCAAGAUGCCACCACAAGAUCUAGGUUCCCCGCUGAGAUCCUAGGUAGCUAAUUCGUUAUUAAAAAAAAAAUAAUGCUAUCUAUACAUCUGAAAAUAAGAUUUACAUCUUACCUUCACUUCAUCACAAAAUUAUUAAUAUUUUACUUGUCACAUCAUUCAUUUUUUUUUAUUGUACAAAAAAUCAUUUGACAUAGGUCCUCCUUUUUUCGUAAUUACAUUUGGAAACUUUUAAAAUCUUUUAUCUAUUACUUUGAUCAGUAAUUUUUUCAAAUUUUGCAACUCAAAUAGCCACAAGAUUGAAGGAACUACGUGUUCAAUUACUAAUGAGUAAUACAUCAAUACACCACGUAAAUCUUGACCAUUUAUUUUUCUAAAUAGAUGGUUGAGAUGUAAUAUGAUUUUAGAGGUGACCUACUAUUUAGGCAUAGGUACCAUUCACCAGGCACCUAUCUAAAAGGUAUUUUGGUCUUAGAAAAAUAUUUUAGUCUACAAAACCGGUUUUAUCCAACUAAGAAUACUAUAACCUUCUCAAAUAUCUACAACAAUAGUUGGAAUUCAAAUUACAACUAAACUGUAAAUUUAAAUGCAAAACAACAUAAAAAACUUAAUUAUAAAUUAAAUUCAACUUUUAAAUAUAAAACACAAAUUUAAAAUAAAACUGUAAGUUCAAAUUCAAAUUUUAAUUUAAAUCAAAAAUUAAAAUUUGGCUUUCAGAUUAAAAGUACAAUAUAGAUUCAAAAUUUAAAAGUUUAAUAUAAAUUUUGAAAUUAAAAUUUUAUAUUACAAUACCAACUACAAAACUUAAAUUUAAAUCAAUAUUUUUUUGAGUUGGAUACUAAACAAAUAGAGUAUUAUCUAAUUUGGAAAGUAACAAAACUAAAUAAAAUACUUAAUAUUAUAGGAUGCUAACAAAUUUGGUAUAUGCUACUAAUUUUUUUUCAAUAUUGUCAUAUUAACUAAUUCAAAUCGGUAACCUGUUCAAUAGGUUACUUUAUGUAAAAUUCAACUAUACCCUUUACUAAUUAAGAGUUUGAUUUUAAUACUUAUGGUGUAAUGAAGCAUUGCUCAUUACUAAUUAUCAAAUUUCAAAUUGAAGUUCUUAACUAAAAAUAAUUUGAUUAAAAUUUAAAUUUAAAUUCUAAAAUUCAAAUUUAAAUAAAAAUAAAAUGUAGAACUUUAAAUUUAAAUAUAAAGUCAUAAAUUUAAAUUUAAAAUUUUCUGUUGAAUUAAAAUUUUAAUUUACAAAUAAAAUUUAAAAUAUGAUCAUAAUUUUAAUUCAAAUUUAAUUGAAAUUGAACUUUAAAAAUAAAUUUAAAUAUUAAAGUUAAGAAUAAAUAUAAACUCUUACCUAAGUUUUUCAUUCGUACUGACUUUCGAAUUUUUUGAGCCGAAGUAAAAAAAAAAAAAGUGAGAUUUAGGUAUAAUUUACUUUAUCAACGUACUUUGGCAAAGUGAUUUUUAUAUUCAAUUUCGUAAACCAAAUAAUCGAUAAGACGUUACUUUUUAAAAAUAUUAUUUUCGAUGUUUCACUCUUUGGUGAACCAAAUAUGUCCUUAGCUUAAGUCUAUAGUGGAAGUGCGCAGCAAUUGGCGUUAAUUGUUGGAAUAAUAAUACGUGGUGGUUGUGACGACACUUUGAGCACGUCAUCUUUAGAUUUCCUACCACAUUCCUCCACCACACCACCACCACCACCACCACCAUUAAAGAAUCUAUUACUUUUAAACAUAUAUGCUACACACAAUGGUCCACACAAAAUGCCUUUUAAUUAAAUGGCUAUUUAUUAUAUAGUUAUUUGGCAAUUUAACUUAUUGCAUCAUUAAUGCUUUAUAAACAUAUAAGUUUUUUUUUUUUGUUUUGAUAAAAGUUCCUACCAAAUAUCAUUCUUGGGAAUCUUCAUUAUUCAAUCAGCUGUUUCAAUUCUAACCCUUCUUUUCGCAAAUUUAUUCAUAUAUAAAUAUCAUAUGUACGUACGUCUCUUGCGCAUCAUUAUAAUAUUGCUUAUCCUCUCCAAAUAACCAACACUACAAAUUUAAAACAAUAUGCCUGUAGUAAAGAUAAACUAGCGAAAACGCAACCCGCGCUUCGCGGCGGUUAAUUAGAUUAGCAUAAAUUUAAGCAGAAAGUAAUAUAACAUAUAUUAUAUAUAAAUAUAAAUCCACAUAUAAUCCUUCACAUAAUAGGGUGCCUAAAAAAUUAAGCAUGAAAUAAUAUAAAAUAUAUUGCAAAUUCAGCAUGGGGCAUCAUUUGGAAUGAGGGAAUGCGUUAUCAAAACAAAGUCAAAGCAUAAAGCACACAGUAUUAUAUGAACCGACUUAAAGACUCAGUAGACGUGACAUUCAUUAAGAGUGAGUAGUUAAGCAAGAAGGAAAGUACAUCCAUUAUGCUACAAGUAAGAGUUGAGGGAGGAAGAAACACAACUAAUUAAGUGGAGACAAAAUUUUAAAAAAGUACACAGCAUUGUAACUGAUACUGCAAAGCCAUGCGCAAAAUGCCUUGUGAGCACAAAACAUGGUAUCAAAAGGUAGCACCAGCAUUUAAGAAGCUUUAGUAAUUAAGCCAACGGAUUCGACAGAGCAUCAGAUUCAUUAGCUGUAGUAGCAGAUGGAACAACAUCAAGGUGGUUUACAAUGGCGUAGCACUCCUCAAUGGCAUGAUGUAUCUUGACGCGUUCAAUCACGAAUUUAUUUUUUUGUGCAAUUGUAGAAAUAUAGCAUUCCUUUAGGAAGUCAGACUCUUGAGCGAGGUUAGUGCACUGUGCAAACAACACUGCAUACUCCAUAGUAAGAUGAUCAUAUAAACUCUUGUAGAAGAUACUGUUGUCAUAAUUAACAUCUUUGAUAUGCAAAUCGCAUUCAUCCGUGAGUCUCUUAAUCGCAAUACGGGUAGCAUCUUGCUCAGCCCAGAGAGACAUAAGGGAUUGUGCACCCCAGCACCGGAUAAUUUCAGCUGCAGACUCACUGUAAGGAAUCUGCAAAUCUAUAUAUGUAGCCCAGAAAGUUUCCCUCAGCAUCCAUUGUUAAUACACACUAUGGUACCUCGAGCUGAAGUUGUUCGUAAACCUCACGGAGCAAUCUAGUGUAAGAUAGCUGCACAGUUGACAUCGGAACAACUGCAAGAAGAAGGAAGCAAAAUUUUGCCAUGGAAGAGUUAUAUAUAGAGCAGAAAAGGCCGUGAUAAAAAAGUGCCCACAACCACUCUAUAAUUCACAAAUGAGAAAUUUAAAUCAAAAGAAACUGAAAUCUGUAUUCGAAACAUUUUUUCAAUCUAAAAAAAUCUUGAAAGAAGACCUGAUUCUAUAAAUCGAGAAAAAAUGCUUGAUAGAGAAAGAAGGAACAAAUGUGUGCAAAAAAUAAAGAGGUUAAGGUGUUAUUUCCGAAGGCAACGCCCAGCAGAACCGUCAUGCUGGAAAUAGACAGCGUAAGUCGGUAAAUAAAUAUAAUCAAUACAUGGAACACUGACUUAGCAGGAAAAGCAACAUCGGCAGAUGGUUGCCUAAGAUCAGGCCAUCCAAAUCUGUUCAUGCAAAACUAUUCUCUCCAGUAGAUGGUUGCCUGAGACCAGGCCAUCCAAAUCUGUUCUUACCAAGCUGUUUUCUGUUUACCGACAAUCAUCAUCGCCUCAAGAAGUCGAGAAAAAGCUAAAGAUGGAAAUAGCGAAGAGUGAAAAAGGAUAAGUUGAAAGCUAAUAUGUGAAAGCAAAUCAGGUUAAAACAAAAAAACUAAAAAAUUAGUGUAACAGAAAAAAAAAACGUUUAAAAGAAAGAGUAGAGUGGAGAGUUCUUUGCAUAGCGUAUUAACAAAUAAGGAGGAAAAUAAGAAUUUACAAUCUGAAAGGGAAAAGUAAGUAGAAAAAUAUUAAAAGAUAGAGAAAAGUAUAUAAAUGCAAAUCAGGAACAACAACAAUAAAAUCAGAUUCUAAAAUCAACACCAAGAAGCACAACUAAAUCAUAUAUAUAUAGAGAAAAAGAAUAGAGAGAAGGAAAGCUUUCUUCUCAACUCCUGAACAUAUAGGGGUACAACAAACUCCUGUUCAUUUAGCAAGUAUAUAUGUACAUGGAACAACUUACACACAACAAUAAUAACCCCUAUUAAUUCAGCACCAAUAGAGUGAAAAGGGCAAAACUGAGAAUAAUUGUCACCAACGCCAACACAAAUACAUAAAUGUUGAAUCACUAAUAGGCCAUAAAAUAACUCGCAGAUAAUCAUUCACAACUAAUAGAUCAACAUCAAAUAUUGAAGCAAAUAUCUUUAUGAUCAAGUAAUGCAUAGUAAGCUAUUAACAUACAGACUGAAAAAUCAAGAAUAACCAAAUAAUUAUAGAAAAAAAAAUGGAGGUGUAUACUAAGCGAUGCGCAAACAGUGAAAACCGUAGCUGAACCGGCAUAGUUAUAGAUUUUUCAGCAAUAAGCACAUAAGCUGUCACAGCCCAUUCCCUUUCCUCUUCUAUCUCCACAGAACCAGGGGCCACGGCCCCCAAAUCCACCGCGACUCCCGACGGUGCACGGCGCGCUGCUACCGGCGCAGCUACCGCGGCCUGUUGUGUCAACAACUCAUGGAGCUCCUUGAUCUGCUCUUCCUGUCGUUGCACUACGUCCGUGAGUGCGUUCAACUGCUCGCGGAGCACCGGGUCCCCGCUCGCCUCGGCUUGCUCAGGGACACCACUUGCCCCGCCCCGCGCCGACCUGGAUGAAGAUCGCCUGCGCGGUGCCAUCGCUUCCUGAAACAGGACAACUCGAUUAGCUCUCGACCCUCAGGGUCAAACACGAAACCAUUAACACGACUCAAAAGUCAAUCAGGCGAAAGUCAUGCGAGGGCGUCUAUUCUCAUCGCUCGGUUUCAUGUUGUCGCACGCCAACAUGAACUCCCUUGAUUGAGAAUAAAGCACACCUCGAGUCUACCUCUAAUAUCCGUCUUAGAGGUUAAUAACACAACCCAAUCCAUAAUCCUUUCGCCGCACGUCUCAAGUCCUCGUCUCUCACGAGCCUUAACCUCUAUGGUUUUACUAUCCUAGGGUCUCCUAGGUCAUCUAAACCAUUUUCCCAUUCUCUACUUUAUGCUCUGAUACUAUCUACUGUCACGCCGCGACCUCGGCCAAAUAGGCGGGUGGUCGCGGGCUGUGACAUAAGCAACAUCCACCAACAGUAAGAACAGUCAGAAGUGGUUGAUUGUGAGUAGCCCAUCCAAACUUCCACUUAUUCCAACCCAACAUUUUCCAUAUUUUCCCCUAUUUAUCAUCAUGGCCUCAAAGAAAAUACAGAAAAAUGAGAAGAAAUGAAAGGAAAUAAAGUAAUAUUGGUAAAAAUAACAGCAUAUUGAAGGCUGGAAUAAAAGAAGAGAUGGAACAAAUAGCUCAAAAUAUUUAAACUUGAAUGGUUCAACAGAAGCAUAAAUUUUAAUACUACGACAAAAUAAAAGUAAUAUAAAAUUUAAACAAUUUUAAAAAAUAUGCACAAAAAUGUAAGGCUCAGGUAAGUUGAAUCGGCAAUACCGCUCAUGAGUACAGGGUAGUAAUAGGAGCAGUGGAUUACUAAGAGUAGCUAAUGUGCAACCAGCGAGAAUUAUAACCGAGCAUGCAUAGCUACAGUUUAACUUUCUUGCUAUCUCUAAUGUUCUUGCCAUUUAAGGGAGAGGUCAUCACAGCAUUGAGAAAUAAGAGCAAAAGAAUAGUAAGCGGAAAAAGUAAUAAUUAAUAAGCAUUCAAAAACAACAGUAAUAGAUAAUUAAGAAUCAUGAACUAUGACCAUGAAAUUUUCGAUAAUGAAUAAUCUGCAACACAUUGAAAAUACUAACAAUCAUAUUGCGUGAAAAUUAUUAAAUAGAAUACACAAAAGAAAGACGAAUCCAACAUACGACAUAUUGCAUUUCGCAGCAUCCUGCUUCUACACUAUCCUGCGCAAGAUCUAUGAUCCUAAUCACUUGAUAAACGAUGGUCCUAGAGGUAGCUAAGUCCUCAGCAAGUAGCAAUAAAUUUAUUAAGAAUGCAUGGAAAUGAUAUUUAUGAAUUCUACGCAUAAACUAAAGCAACAAAGUCUAGCUUAUAGUACAUAGUCUAUUUUACAAAUAAGGGUAAAGCAAAGCAUUAUAAGUUACGGCCAUCAACCCCGGAGUACAAAAAGAGCUGAGGAAACCCCUAGGCACGUAAGGAAAGCCAAAAGGGCACGGAGGAAGGUAGCAGGAGCAAGAAGUACGUGCAAGCUUGAAGUACAGUAUGAAGACCAAGGGAGGAGCACAGGGCUAAGAAGCCGACCCUGAUCCAGAGGAGUCAGUCGCCAUAGCAGCACGGCCCGCGCGAAGGCGAUCGACGGUCGCGCGGUAUUCGGCAAUUGUACGGCUCAGUUUUUGGUUCUCAUCUAUAUACUUAAUUCUUUUGGCAACAGAUGAAGCGUAACAAUCCCUGAGAACACUGUGUUCGCGCUUCAAUUUAUUUAACUGUGCAAGGAGGUCAUUAAACUGAACCGUAACAUUGUCGUACAUGCUUUUAUAUAUUAUGCAGUCGUCAUAAUUUAUAUCUUUUAUGUGAAGAUCGAGCUCAGACUUCAUUCGCUGGAUAGCCACACGAGCUGAAUCAUCCUUAGCUAGAAGAAAAUCAGGGGAAGCAGCACCCUAGCAGCGGGUAAUUUUGACAAUUGCCCCGUUGCGUGCGAUAGGAAGGUCUAUAUACGCAACGAACCAGCCUUCAGCACUGGCUGUGGCAACACAAUCAGGGACCCGGAAACCCAAUUUCUGGCAUAUUUCUUCAAGUAAUUUACUAAAACAGAGAUGAACAAUCGACAUCCUGACAAUUGUGGUUAAAAGGGAAAUGAGAGAAUGAAGCAAACAAUUUAGAAGUGUGAAGAGAUAAAUUGGUAAAAAUCAGCAGGCACAGGGACCUCAGAAACCAGCAGGCCGAUUUAAUUUCCUAAAAAUAUUUGUUAAGAAAUCGCUGAAUUAUCUAUAUCAUAAUUUAUAGGGAAUAGGCUGAUCCUUUUUUGUUUCUGAAAAAGCAUUGCUUAAAUAUAAAGGAAUGCGCAGGGACCUUAGUAAAUACCAUAGUGAUCUCAGGUCUUUAAAAAAUUUCGUAUGUUCAUCAUAAUUUAGAGUGUGUAGACUCAAGCAUCACUCACCAAAAAGAGCCGAGAGAACAAAAGUUCAAUAAUUGGCAAGGCGAGCCGGGCACCGAAAAGGACACAGUAGCACACAACCUAGGAGGAAAAAGCCAAAGCAGUGACAUCAGGCAUCCCAAGUUUUGUAUAAAGAAUUUAAUAAAUUUGAGCCCUCGAGCCUUACUCCGGAAGAGGGCACAACAGUAGAGAACCUAGGAGGUAAAAGGCAACAUCAGCCACCCCAAACUCCGUAUAAAAUUUUUUACAAAUUCAAAUGUCCAAACCUCAGGAACCAAGCCAGCCACCUCAGAGUACAACAAGUAUUAUAAGAGGGCCCAGCAGAGAUAGGAGGCCGAUGGAAUCUAAAGCAAGAAUAGUAAACGGAGGUAGAGUAUAGGGAACCAAAAGGCCAAAUCUUAGAAACGAAGGCAACCAACCCGCGACAUCUCUGCAUAGAUGCAUGAAUAUUUAUAGAUCCCUGCUGCAACUGGAGAGCAAGAAGGAGAUGGGGAUGCGAGGGAGUGGGGCAGGCUGCCCUGGGGGCCCAACCGUACCACAACGUGCUUAGAGAGCGAGGAGGAGGAGAGAGAAGGGCGGCGGAGUAGAUCAGAUAGUGGGAGAGCGCCCAUCACAGGCGAAGGGUCACUACGGGCCUGAGGGAACCCACACCCGGCGGCCACGCAGCAGAAGCGGGUGAAGCCCGGACAGGGGAAGGGAGGGUUGUUAGAUUGUAGGGUAGGGUGCAAUAAUUACAUACCAUAAACCUUAUGCCCAUCAGGUAGCCCAUAUCCGGCGGCGGCGGGGAGAAGGAUGACGAUGGACAUCGCAAAGAGAGGGGAGGCGGGUAUGGCACACGUGCGUAGAAGUACGAUGAUGCCCACCGCAGAGAGAGGAGUUGGGACACAGUGCACACUGGCGAAGCUAGGGCUCCUGCCACACGGUGUGCCCGCACGUACGAGGAGAGCGACAAUGCCCCGCAUCCUGCGGUACCUGCGAGGGCUCGGUUUCGCGAGAGAGGGAUCGGGAGAGAGAGAUUGGGGAGACAGGUUUCGGGAGACGCGGGUAGGACGACACGUUGCCCUUCGGAGCACCCACGCUACGCAGGCCGAGCACGGAAGGGAACGGUAGAGGGGGGGGCGUCGAGGAGGCGCCACGUAGGGCACAACAGAACUAAAAAAUUAGAGUAAUGCUUCUAUACUUUUUGUUUUUCGUUACCGUUCAAUCACUCCCACUCAACGGUACAGAUUUAAUUUUCUUAAAAUUGUGACCUGCAAUAGCAGGUCAUUUUAGGAGUGGUACCGGUCACCAGGUACCUCAAAAAAUGAUAUUUUUGUCUUUUAAUACAUGAACAAUUUAGUCAUUUUAUCUCUAUUAUAUUAUUAAAAUUUUAUUAUCUCUUUAUUUCUUUUUUCUCUCUCUAUCUUUCCUCUCAUAUUUGGUAUUUCAUAUAAGAAAAAUUUCAAAUUAUUUGACAACAAGAACAUGAGAUUAUUUUGUGAACCAACUAUGGAUUUUUUUCUAUAUCCAUCUUGAAUCCAACCUGAAUCAUAUAUAAAGUUUAAUAUUAUAUUCGAAUUUAUAUUUUAAAAUUUUAAAUUUAAUAUAAAAUAUUUUGAAAUAUGGUAAAAAGAAAUAAUUGUUUCGGGUUCCAGUCUUCCGGUUUGGAUUUGGUUUUGGGUUUCGAAAAAUUGGUUAGUUUCGGGUUUAGAUAUGGAUUUUUGAAAUCCAUCGAGUUUAGAAAUAGAUUUUGUGAUUGUUAAUCAGAUUCGAAUUCAAAUUUCUAACCUUUUUUUUUUCUGAAUAGUAAUCCUAAUCUUUUUAAUUUUUAUGUUUAAACUAAAUUCGUAAAUUUCUAAACUAAAUUUGUAAAUUAAUACCUAAUUAAUGCCUAAAUUAGGGUAAUCAAUCAAUUUCCUAAAUUAGUGCAAAUUAAUGUAUAAAUUUAGGAUAUCAAUUAAAAGUUUCUUUAAAUGAUGUAUAGUUUAAUUACCGAAAUAACCUCGAAUGAUAUAACCCAUUUACCUGCUAAAUAUUAAAAUUACACCUUUACCCUCUAUUAAUCAACGGUUAAUUAAGUUUUAUUUUGUUUUUUUAAUAAUAAAGUACCGAAUCAUUUCUCAAAAAAUUAAUAUAUCUAUAGAUUAUGAGACAACCAAAGAAAUAAUAAAAACCAAGAUUCUACUAGCUAAGUGAUUCUUAGCAAAUAAUUUUUCGAAAGAAAAACUUAAAAUUCAAGAAUUUACGCGAAAACAUUAAAAGAAGACCUAUGUACAAAUUUUUCAUUCUGUUUCUUGUUUCGUUUGUUAAGAAAAAUAUUGUUAGUAACGCAAACAAUUAAUUAAAAUCUCUUUCAUUUAUGUGUUGCAAUUUUAUUGAGUUUGAUUCAAGAAUGAUGCGGUAGACUAGGUCCACAAAACAAUUUCUGAAGAAUCUUAUUCCUGCUGAUUCUAGAAGUUAGCAUUUUGUUCUUAUUCUUAGGGCAACAACUUAGACAAGUAGAUAUGCUGGUCCAUAAAAUGCAAAGGAUUUUAGAAUGAAGAGGAGUAAGCAAUGUAUAUUCCCUGAGACAAAUGCAAAUAGAAUAUUCAAAGUUUUUAAUUUUUUUUCUUAAAAAAUGGUUUUAAAUUAAAGUGCCAACUACAUAGGUGUAGUUGCCACUAUAUAUAUAAUAUAUAUAUAUAUUUAUAUAUAUAUAUUAUAUAUAUAAUAUAUAAUAAAUAUUAGUAUAUACUAUAUAAAUAUAAUAAUAUAAACAAAGAAUUCUCACACAGUGUCAAACAAAGUAAUUGCUUCAUCCCCUUCUCAAUUAACGUAUUCUUAAUGAGUAAUACUUCAAUACACCAUGUAAAUUUUGAUCAUUUAUUUUUUUAAAUAGAUGGUUGAUAUGUAAUAUGAUUCUAAAGACGAGACCUACUAUUCAGGCAUAGUUACCGUUCACCAGGUACGUAUUUAAAGGAUAUUUUGAUCUUAGAAAAAUAUUUUGGUCUACAAAACCGGUUUUAUCCAACUAAGAAUUAAUAUUAUAACCUUCUCAAAUACCUACAACAAUAGUUGGAAUUCAAAUUACAACUAAGCUGUAAAUUUAAAUGCAAAACAACGUAAAAAACUUAAUUAUAAAUCAAAUUCAUCUUUUAAAUAUAAAACACAAAUUUAAAAUAAACUUUCAGAUCAAAUUCAAAAUUUUAAUUUAAAUGUAAAUCUAACUAUACCCUUACUAAUUAAGAAUUUGAUUUUAAUACUUAUGGUGUAUUGAAGCAUUUGCUCAUUCUUAAUUACUCUUACGUAUUCUUAAUUAGCUGGGUAUUAAACUAUAUAUGCUCUAUAUACCCACUUAGGGCUAACAUUUGUAACACAACUAUAUUCUUGUACAAUCCAAAAUUUCAUAUUUUAUAUUAUUAACUGCAUGCUAUUGUAUUUCCUGCAUUGUUUUCUAUUGGAUUUAUUUUUUGGGUAAUUAACGAUGUGCUAUAUUGGAGCUAGUUCUUAAUUUUGUGAAACAAUAUGCAAUAACCAGUAUUGUUCAUUUUCAAAAGAUUCAGCUGCUAGAGAAUGGUCUUUUUAUAUUCUUAUGUUUAAUACUUUAUCUCACGUCUGAGCUUCACAUUUUGAUGAAUUCAAAAUAUACAAAUUAAACAACUUGGGACUUCUUGUUAUGAUAACUUAAUAUAAAAUAUAAGUUUAUCUCCAAAAGAAUAUUAAACAACUAAAGAAUAAUAUUUUGAAUAUUUUUGUAUUCAACAAAUUAAAUUCUCCCUCUUUAUAUAUAAAGAGAUUCUAAAUGAAUCAAUACUUAUUAUCUGUUACUUUGAUAUGAUACAUAUUACUAUUCUAUAAUAUAUUGUAGUUAUGAACUAUAUAUACACACAAAAUUUCAAGCUUGAUUAAUAAAUAUACAUGUAAAUACUUUAUUUCCCGUCAAAUUACAAAACGGGCUUUUUGCAUCUAUUCUAAUUAGUGGGAUGUUAAUAUCUGGGAUAUCUUAAAUAUUAUAUAUGGGAUCUAUCCAAGUUGGUGCACUUUAAUUGUUGGCUAAUAAUAACUAAUCAUAAUAAUAAUAAUAUUUUUACUAUUGCAAAUAUAUCCCCUUGUUUGUGGAGGAUAUAUUAAUAGAGACCUACCACGUGACAAACCCAACUUAUGUAGAAUAUUAUUAUUAUUAUUAUUAUUAUUAUUAGGCAUGCAUUCGGUGGGUGCAUGCGGCCACCUACCAAUUAUUAAUUUUUAUUCAUAAAAAUAUUAAAAGAAAAAAAGUUUAGUUAACAGCGUAAGAUAAAAACAAAUAGAAUAUUAGUGCUAGAAUGUAAUUCAAAAAUAAAUAUAUUUUGCUAAAGAUGUGUUUUCUUGAUAUUUGCUUGGUAACUAUAUUAUAAGCAAACUUUACUAUAGGAAGGUACUGAUGCCAACUACUUUGCUAGUCUAAAAUCCACAUCCUGAGCAUGUUCUUCAAAAUCUGAAUUGUACGUUUUGACUGUACAUUACUCUGUGGGUGAAAAAUAGUGCUAAAAUUCAACUCUGUGCCUAGUGUCUUAUGAAGACUUCUGUAAAAGUGAGAUAUAAAUCUACAAUCUUGAUCUGUAAUAAUAGAUGUAGGCAUUCUAUGAGAUCGCACAAUCUCAUAAGGUACAUUUAUGUGGGCUUCUCUCUCGACCAAGUAGUGUGAAUAAGAAUAAAAUGUAUUGUUUUGGUUAAUCUAUUCACGAUUAGCCAAAUAGAAUAUACCCGGCUUGUGAGGGGGGAAAUCCUAUGAUAAAGUCCAUAGUGAUCCUUUUUCACUUCUAUACGAGAAUAUGUAAACUCUGCUACUUACCUAUGGAAAGUUGAUACUCAACUUUCAUCUAUUGGCACGUCAAAUAUUGUGCUACAAACUUUCCAAUAUCUGUCUUUAUUCUGGACUACCAAUAGGGCAAUUUUAAAUCUUUAUAUAUCUUAGUGCCACCCGGUUGCAAUGAGUAAGGUGCUCGAUGCACCUCUCUCAAGAUCUCCUCUCUGAUCUCUGUAUCCGCUGGUACACAAACUCGGUUUUGGAACCGAAUCUCAUGAUUGUCCAAAUGAAAUCCACCGGCGCGUCCCUUCUCGAUAUUAGAACGAAUCUUUUACAAACUUGUAUCUUGAGCUUGUUUCUCUUUGAUUUUAUCCAACAACAUUGGUUGCACCACCAAUGCUAUCAACUUCAUCAGUGUCUUGGGUGCCACAAUCUCUAACUCCAACUGUCUCAUCUCUUCAAGUAGUAGUGAUUGAGUAGUAAUCAACAUUGCCCAAUUCUCCACUAACCUAUAACUUAGGGCGUCCGCUACAAUAUUUGCUUUUCUGAAGUGGUAGAGAAUAGUCAAAUCAUAAUUCUAGAGUAGUUCCAAUCAUCGCCGUGGUCUCAAGCUUAAUUUCUUUUGAGUAACAUAAGAGUAGAUUGCAUUAUAAGAAACUCUCUCUCAGGAGCCCUCCAUGUUUUCCUCUCAACUAGGGUAUUUUCAAUGAAGCUCAUAAUUUAAAAGAUUAAUUACAAUAGUUUAUAUAAGCCUAAAAUUCUAAUUCUAGUAGGAAACAAUUUUCGCCUUCCAUCCAAGUCUGAUUUAUAUGUAGUCAUCAAUUCCUUUUAGGAAUACUUUUAAAGUGAUUUUGCACUAUUCCUAAUCUUUUAGAACAAGAUUAGAUCCAAUCAGAGUCAAACUCUGCGUAUCAACUCAGAACAUGACUUUACAUAAUCCAACAUUAUAGAGGAUGGAUAUUUGCACAAUCAAUAUUUUUAUUUUUUCCAAACUCAGCCUGCACAACUCUCAGCUAUGUAGGUUUUGGAACUUACGUAUCGAAAUUCCGCAAUCAGGUCAUGUUCAAGAACUAAUGAACAAGUUCCUUAGAACCCAAAUCUUUUUCUACCCAGCUUCUCUAUUCAAGUUCCAAAACCUGAAACUCAUAUUCUGAAACUUGACACAUUCAACUAAAAUCUUUUUCUUCUUCUCCUUUUCUUUUCUCCUUUUGAAACGGAGGAUAUUUCAUGCAUAAAUAAAUAUACCGAUAUUCAUCGGAGGUAUACAAAGUAUUCAAUAUACAUCUUAAAAUUAUGAUCAAUUUAUUUUUAUUUUUUAUUUUAUUAAGGAAAAAAGUAACUUGCAGUUGCAUUAACUAGUUAACUAGGGAUAAAUGGGAGAAUACAGAGAAAGAAAUUAAGGACAACUAAGCUCCAUAAAGCAUUACCUAUUUAAAUUGAAAGUGUUUCACCUAAGAGUUUUCUACAAGAAAUUAGGUUUCCACAUAAGGGUAUAUCUUUGAAUUUCAAGUUUGCAUGAAAAAAAAAGAAUAAUAAUGUUAACAAUCUAUUUAACUGAUUUGGCUCAUUAAAUCUAGUCAAAUUCAAUCAAUAAAUAAUGAUCUUAUUUGAUGAAUGCAUUUGUUUAACUUCGAAAUGAAAUGUGUUAACGGAAUCACCCUUGGAAAAGGUAAAUGUCGAUAUACAGGGAUUGCACAUACAUGCAAGUAGAUGAUUUUGUAAGGUCAUUUAUGUAAUUGUUCAUUUUACUAAUCAAGUAGAUUAUGCGGGUAUUAAAGAAGGGAGCUAUCCAGCUGUGGUGAUUAGGGGUGGCAAUCCAGUCACUGUUCACGAGCCGGCUCAUAUUUGUGGCUCGUUAAUAAAUGAACCAAACACCAGCUAAAUUUUUCAGCUCGAUAUUUUAACGAGCCGGCUCAUGUUCGGCUCGUUUCAGGUGGCAAUCUAGCUCGCUGUUUGCAGGCACCUCGUUUUCGAGAGCUGAAUUUUUUUGCUCGAUGCUUUAACGAGCCAGCUAAUAUUCGGCUCAUCUAUUAAAUGAACCGAACUCGAGUCAACCCUAGCUCGCUCAUGUUUAGCUCGUUGACGGUCCUACUGGUGAUAGCAUAGUGAUUUUGCAUGCUUAAUUGUCUCCAUUUGGGUAGCUAAUAUUAAUAAUUGCCACCGACUGUCCCUAGCGCAAGUGGCAAAGAGUUUUGGUGGUUGAUAUCUGAGGUUUCGAAUUCGAAGUCUUGUUGUUUCACAUUGUCAGCUAAGUUUAUUUCUAAAAGAAAUGAACGAAAUAAUUAGCAUACUACCUCUCUCAAUAAUAAUAAUAAUAAUAAUAACUGUCACCUAAUUAUGCCACUAUUUGAUUCAUAAACUUUUUUAAUCAAAAGAGAAAAGGGCAAAAAGGAUUCAUUAAACUGUAACUCUCCAUGUCCCAGCUAGUUAUAGUUUCUGGAAAAGAUGGGAAUGUAGGAAUUCCAACCAGGACAAAUUCCAAAAAAUUUUCAAAUGUAUUGAUGUCAAUUUUUUUAUCAUAUUCACCAAAGAUUUCUUUUUUAAAAAAAAAAAAAAAAAAAAACAACACCAACCACAUUGGUUAAGUUAUUAAAUUAACCUUCUCUUGGGCCUUUAAUGUGUUAAGUGUGACCCAUUUUGAGUAAAGCCCAAUUUAGUAAUAGGCCCAAAUUGACCCAAAUUUGGAUGGGCCUCUUUAUUUGCUCUAUAGCCAAACCGGGCCGUUACCGUCCUUAUUUACGGACCAUACAGAAAAACACAUAUGGUUACGAAAUUCUUACAAAAUUCUAAUCAUCGCAUAUAUUUUUUUUGAAGCUCUGAUUGGAUAAGCAGCAAAAAAAAUUCCAUGGAGUUUAAAUACUGUAGUUUUGAUCCAAAAGAAAUGGAGAAUCUCGUAACUCCAAAAAAAUUUCACAGGCUAUUUUAAAAGCUGUUUGGAUGCACAUUACACAAUUCUACAGGAUUUCCGACCAUUUUCAAAAAUUAGCCUUGAGGGAGUUUAAAUUUAAAUUAUUAGCUAUUAAAUGAUUUUAAAUUUAAAAAAUAAAAUUUUAAAGACAUCUAAAAUAAAGACGAGAGGGAGGAAGUCGAGCGAGUCGGGGAGGCGGCCCGAAAAAUAGCGUAAAGUUUUUCAGAGAAAAUACUCGAUUUUACUUUUACCUUAUGUUUUUGAACCAUCCAAACACUUUUUGGAAAACUUUUUUUUGCACCCAUAGCAUAGUUAUAUUAUGCUCCAAAAAAAUAAGCAUCCAGACAGCCCUAAAUGUGCAAAUUUACUUUUACAAGUAAACUACCGUUAAUUGACCGUUAAAUUUUUACCAUCAGGACCAUUAUGCCUUUAAUAAAAAGAAAAUUCAUUUUUCAAAAAAAUUGAGAAUUUAUAAUUUAUGGUUCACGUAGAAUGACAUAGAGAUUGAAAUAAAAAUAUUAGAAAAUAAUAAAUGAUGCUAAAUAUAAUUAAAAAGUUAUAUCUUUCUCAAGAGUAGAAUAGCUAUUUCGUAGAAGAAGAAAAUCAAUUUAAACCGGUCGACAAACAGGGAGGUACGUAUUUGCAAAUUAUUCAAUUUUGGAGCGAUAUAUUAGAUAACUACAAUUUCAUUGCUUUAUAGGCAUGCAUGUGCAAUCAUCUCGUGAUUUAAUAAAUGUUCAAAGUAUAUAAUAUUUUAUAUAAUUAGUCAGAUCCAAUUUCAAGAAUCAAAACCAAAGAAAAAAAGCAAAUGGAACAAUUAAUUCUUAAAAUGGUGGUUUAUCUCAAACAAAAAGAUCCAAAUAAACCACAAAAAAUAUAUAUGUUCGAUUUUUCAGAAAGAGAGAGUUUUUUAAAAUUUAAAUUGUUUCCUCCCAGACAAUUUUAUGAAUUUUUUGAAUAUAAUUGAUUUCAAUUUGUUAUCAUACUAGAAUGGCUGCGUUUGGUAAUAGAAUAAAUAUUUGAAGGAAUAAAUAUUUCAUUGUUGGGAUAACGUGCUAUUCUAGAAUAUAAAAGAAAAUUUGUAUUUAGUUUAAUAUUUUCGUAUUCCCUAAGAUAAUUAAAAUCUUGUUUGGUAAUUUUAUUAAGAAUAAUGAAGAAUAGUUAAAAAAGUAAAUUAAAAUUUUUAAAAUGCUAAGAUUGUCUUUGUCUAUAUCUCGCAUAUAUAGAAUAUUUAAUAUAUGCACAAUAAUAAGUAUAAAAAAUAAUAUAUUUCAUAAAAUAUAAAAGAAUAAAAAUAUUAUAUAUAACACUAUUAUAAUCAUAUUAUUGUAUAAUAUACUUCAAUAUUAUUACAUAACAAACUUCAAUAAAAACGAUAGCACCAAGUGUGCUAUCGAAUUUUCCGCCAUUAGAUUUAAUUAACCCUUUGACUAUUUUUAUCCGUUAGAUUAUAGUAUUAAACUAAUAACUCAUUUAACCCUAAAGAGUCCACAUCAUCCUAAUCAUAUAUUUUUUCAUCUAAGGGUCGAAAAUCUAAUAGCACCAAUAGCUUGGUGCUAUUGAUAGUAUUCCCUUAUAUAAUAUUUUAGAAUAUUAUACAUUUAAUAUAUUUAUUACCUUAUAUAAUAUUUUAUUUUAUAUUAUAUGGUAUAUUAUAGGAUAAUGUAUAAUAUAUAUUUAUUUUCUUACAGUGUUUGGUGGAAUAACGGGGAUAACUUUUAUAGUUUUCAGUUUAUUUUGAAACCAAACAAAGCUUUAUUUUGUCAUUAUGUGAUUUUAUCUUAUUUCAUUGUAAGGGACUGCGGAUAAAUAGCGUGGUGAAGUAAUACAUUUUAUAAAUUGAAUAGCAGUUAAAUGCAAAUUAUAGACUAAUAAAAUACUAUAUUUUGCCGUCAUACUGCUUGCAAAAUAUACAUCCAUGUGCUAACCAGUGUUUUGCAAAUGUCAGUAUUUUGAUACCUUUCUUAGCCGCAUGUCUUUAUAGUGAUGUGAUACAAAAGAGAAAAUGAUAAUAGUAAACUAAAAUUUUUUAAAUUAUAAGAUAAUAAAAUAAAAAUGUGCUAAAUCAUAAGUGGGACGGUUAGGGCUUAGUUUGGUAUUGAAGUCUAUCUAACGAUAGAAUGGAGUUGAGAAAAAGCAUAUAGGGUUAUGCUUCUGCGUUCUCCGAUGGGACCAAAGAAAAUUUAUCGUAACCGACUAAUUGCAAUAUGCGGAACGCAAUAUUAUGUACGGAAACAAACAGGGUAUUUUUCCAUCGUCGUUUCUCACCGCACGUAACGCAAUCUCCCCGCAAUUCCAAACGAACCCUAAGCGUGCCCUAGCUGGGACUUUGGGAGGCCAUUGUGGUUAAGUUUGUAGACCUUGACCCGACUUGUUUUGCACAAAGGUCCAUUUGGUAGUAGGUGAUCCAGGAGGAUCAAAUCAUCCGAAUAAGUCUCAAUCGUUGCGGAUAAGGCGGAGGUCGUUCCAACUUCUUCGGUUAGAAUAAGGCGGAGAUGGUUACAACUAAUUCGGUUAAGAUAUGGAUCGAGAUGAUUCCAACUAAUUCUGUUAGUAUAUGAAUCGAACUAAUUCGGUUAAGAUAUGAAUCGAGACGGUUCCAACUAAUUCGGUUAGGAUAAGAUCGAGGUGGUUUCAACUACUUCGGUUAGAACAAGAAUAAAGCUGUUAUUUUAUUCUUAUCUUUUUGUAAGCCGGAAGGCUAUAAAUAGGGGCCCUAGCUCUUGUAAAUCAUUCCAGUUUUAGAGAGAAUUAAUAUACAGGCUCUUCCACAUAAAUAUUCUUUUCUUUUCUUUCCUCUUUAAUCUGGUUUCAGAUAUCCAUCGGGGAGGCGUUGCGACAUUGCUUUUCUCCUCCGACGGAUCAAGUGGUAUCAGAGCAUCUGACCCUGGUCAGAAGCAUCUACAAAGCUACUGGCGAACAACUCUCCGUUCUCGACAUCUUUCGUAAGCCACCGACGAGGAAAAUGAAGAGCGCAUCUACCAUGUCUGCAGGCGAGUAGAUAGCGACGCCAUCUGACCUUGCCGCCAAGGUCGCCGCACUGUCCGACGGCAUGAAGACCGUUUUAGAUUGGAUCAAGACCCAAUCUGCAGCACCAUCGGCAAUACCGGUGGAGAAGAGUGGUCGGCUCGCAGGAACUCCUCCUCCAAAGGCGCGUGUGACGCCGAUGAAGGGCACUGCCGAGGAUACCUCGGGUGUGCGAGACGACGACGACUCCGACGAUGACGGAAGCAUAGCUCCGUCGGUUGCAGAAGGAAGGUCGAAACCGUUUAAGGUUGAGGCCAAGAUCGAGAUCCCCAAUUACGACGGUGUUGUCGACAUUGAAAAGCUGGAUGCCUGGCUUGACCAACUAGAGACGUACUUCGACCUCUACAACUAUAGCAACGCAGAAAAGGUAACUUUCGCAAAACUAAAACUUGUAGAUCAUGCUUUGACUUGGUGGAAGGCUACUAUCCAAACUACCGCCAACGAGGAGUUCACCUGGAGUCAGUUUAAACGACUGAUUCGUCGGGAGUUCUACCCUAUGGGAUAUGAAGAAGAGCGAUGGAAGCGCUGGCAUGUCCUGCGCCAAAGACGUGACCAGACAGUGCAGGACUACACCGACUUCCAACGCCAAGCCUUGGCGCUUGGCAUCUCCCUCGAUGAUCCACAGGUUUUUUGUAAAUAUACCGCGGGCCUACAGGAACGCAUCAGUGAUGAGUUUCGUCUCUUCGGUGUUUGUGAUAUUGCCUCGGCCAGCCAAACAGCUAUGGCGAUUGAGCGGAAGAACAAACUAUCUCUCGGGGAGAAGCCAUCUAGAGAGUCUGCUGAGGGCUCGAAAAAGUUCAAAAAGAAGGGCUCUAAAAAGAAGGGGUUCUCUGAGCCUGAUUUGUACUGUGAUAAUUGUAAAGUCACAGGACAUGUCAAUGAUCGAUGCUGGAAGCUCCAUCCAGAACUGAGACCAAAGAAGAAGGAUGAUUGUGGAAAACGCACAACGGCAACGGCAGCAUAGACAAGUGAUGCUCCUACCUUAAUCGGACGGAUUGAUUAAGCAGACACUAGUUUGUCUCUGAUAGCUAUGCCGAAGGAGACAAGCCUGCGCCCGUCAAAUCCGACUGAUAAGAGAGAAGAGUUGUUUACUUUUCGAGUUCAAGUCAAGAAUGAAGUGAUCGAUGCCAUCAUUGAUCCCGGCAGCCAAAAGAACUUGAUCUCGUAGAACCUAGUUCGAAGACUGGGUUUGUUGACCACACCCAUAUCCAUUAGGGUGGAUUAACAGCAACAUCAAGAUGAAGAUCGAUCGCCAGUGCAAGGUGAAGUUUGCGGUGACCGGCGUCUACAUCGAUGAAAUGCUGUGCGAGGUUGUGCCGUUGAAUAUUUGCAACCUCAUUUUCGACAGUCCCUACCAAUGGGACCGUGACGCUACCUUCUUCUGUCAUCCUCAGCAAUAUCAAUUUAUUAAGGAUGGACAGAAAUUUUUAUUCACCACAGAGCCAUUAUCAACAACUGUAGACCUGAUAACCGCUUGCCAGGCCAAGAGGAUGAUCAAUGCAUGUCAGAAGUUUGCCUUACUGGUCAUUCGACUAAUUAUAUCUGAAAAGGUAAACGACAAGGUAUUGAGUCUAGCAUGUAAGGAAAGAACUAAUAAUAUAGCUAAAUUGAUUGGCGAGUAUCAGGAUCUGUUUCAAGAAGUCCAAGGACUGCCACCAAAGCGAGCCGUGGAACAUGAGAUCCAAUUGAUCAGCGACUCUCCGUUACCGAAUCUCGACAUGUUUCGAAACUCGGUGGUGGAGAAUGAGGAGAUAAAGCGAUAGGUGACUGAGUUACUCGAGAGUGGUGCUAUCAAACCGAGAAGCCCUCCCUGUGGCUCCCCGAUCGUGUUGGUGCCAAAGAAAGACGGCGGGUGGCAAAUGUGUAUCGACUACCGCACCCUUAACAAAAUCGCCAUCAAGAAUUGGUUCCCCUUAUGGCGGAUCGAUGAUCUCUUGGACCAACUGAAGCAUGCUCGCUACUUCACCAAACUGGACCUGAAGUUCGGCUAUCAUCAGGUUUGGAUCCGAGAGGAUGACACCUGGAAGGCUGCGUUCAAGACUCGACAAAGCUUGUUUGAAUGGCUCGUCAUGCCAUUCGGCCUUUGCAAUGCACCAGCCAACUUUAUGCGACUGAUGAACAAUGUUUUAUGCCCCUUCCUCGAUGACUUCGUGAUCGUCUACCUCGACGACAUUCUCAUCUACAGUUGAUCGUGGGAGGAGCAUCUGGAGCAUGUCAAGAAGGUCUUCAAGCUGCUUGAGUGUUUGAGAUAAAAAAGAAAUUUGAAUUCGAAUUCAAAUUGGGAUGUAGAAGGAAAAAAUAAUAUGUGAUUUGAUUGCUACUUUCCUUAGAGGACUAGGUACCAACAAGGAAAGGGACAAGGGAAAUAUCGUUGCCUUAUUUUCAAAAUAUUUUGAAUUGUUUCCAAAAUCGAAGUGGUCCUAAAACCCCUAUAAAUGGGACAAUAGAAUUCAAAAAUAAAUCUCUUAGAGAGGGAGGGGGAGAUAAAAAAAAGAAAGAAAGAAAGAAAGAAAAAAGCAAAAAAAAAAAAAGAAAGGAAGAAGAAGAAGAAAAAAAGGGUGAGAAACAAAAAAAAGAGUUUUUAUACUCUCCUCUCUCUCUCUCUCUCUCUCUCUCUCUCUCUCUCUCUCUCUCGGCUGGCAGAGGAGGGGUGCCACGUGCACCCCACCACCUUUGUUCGUACACAGCAAAAAAAAAAGAAGAAGAAGAAAAAAAAAGGGAUAUCGGCUCUCGCAUUCGACGACGACUUUUACGACAAUAAGAGAAUGCAUGCAUACGAAUAGCGUAAGCGCGGCUUUUUGUUGGUUUGAUCAACCCGACCAUCUUCGUGAUAGGUUUCGAACCAAUCAAAUCUGACAGCAAGUCGCCGCUUUCGCCGUGCGUAUACAUCGCUAAUCCCUAACCGUGCGGCCAUCUUCGUGAUAGGCUCGACAUUGUCAAAAUGAUUGAUCGAACUGGGUGUUUUAUUACGUAAACCAUGCGGCCAUCUUCGUGAUAGGCUCGACAUGGUCAAAAUGGGUGAUCGAGCACCAUUUAUUUUGUUACGAAAACCGUGCGGCCAUCUUCGUGAUAGGCUCGACAUGGUCGAAAGCGUAAAUCGUGCGGCCAUCUUCGUGAUAGGCUCGACAUGGUCGAAGGGAUUGAUCGAGCGGCCAUCUUCGUGAUAGGCUCGACACGAUUAAACUCCGCGUGCUUGAACAAAACGCGACAAAAAAAAUAACAUGAAGAUUGAUGAUAAAUAAUGGACGGGUUUUGAUUCGUCAUAAAUUUCGAGACGAGAUUUCGUAUAUUUGGACAAAUAAACAAAAAUAAAAAAAUAAUAAUAAACAAACAAAAGAAAACAACAACAAAAAAAAAAAGAGAAAAAAAAAAGAAAAGGAGGGUACCCCUCCCCCUCUCUCUCGGUUUGCAUACACACAGGGAGAAAGAGAGAGGGAGUUGGGUUUUCUCUCUCUCUCUCUCUCUCUCUCUCUCUCUCUCUCUCUCUGCCGCAAAACAAAAAAAAAAAAAAGGAUGAAUGAAGAAUCAAAAGAAAAAAGAAAAAAAAAGAGGUUUAUUAUUUCUCUGACAGUCAACAAAAAAAAAAAAAAAAAAAAGAGCAAGAAAAAGAGAAUGAAUGAAAGAAUCAAAAAAAAAAAGAAAAAAAAAGAAAAGAAAAGAAGAACAAAAAAAAAAAAGAGAAUUUAAAGAAUUGGAUUUGUUUUAUUUCAAUCCAUUAUGGGUCCAAUCUCAUGAGCAGUCAAAAAAAAUAAUAAUAAUGCAGAGCCCAUAUGCAAAUUCGGGUCCAAGGCCCAAAACAUGUAGAGCCCGAAAUUCAGUCUACAUACAAAUUCGGACACAGGAUAUUAAAGCCCGAAAUCCAUCUCAGCCCGCAUGUAGAUUUGGGCCCAGAACAUAUAAAAUCCAAGAUCUAUUUCAGUCCACCUGCAAAUUGGAUCCAAGGUCCAGACCCUGUAAAGCCCGAAACCAAUCUCAACCCACAUGCAGAUUUGGGUCCAAGAGAAAUGAAAAUUCAUAUGAAUGGAUUUCUUAAUCCAAAAUCCAAAGAUCCAAAAUUCAAAAGUUCACAAAUAAAAUCACAAAAAUCCCAAAAUCCACAAAUAAAACCCCAGAAAUCCCAAAGCCCACAAAUAAAAAUCCCCAAAAUCCCAAAGUCCAUAAAUAAAAUUCCAAAAAUUUCAAAAUCCACAAAUAAAUCCCAAAAUCCAAAAUUCACAAACAAAAAAAAUCCAAAAAUCCAAAAGCCCACAAACGAAAUCCCAAAAAAUCCAAAGUUCACAAAUAAAGAUCCAAAACCCAAAGAUCCAAAAUCCAAAGUCUAUAAAUAAAACCCAAUCAAAUCUACCAAACCUAUGUCAUCCAAAUACUCCCAACCCAAACCGAAUUCGUGGGCUUUCCAAAUGGGCCCUUUAUUAUGAAUUAAUUCUAUGAAUUAAUUUUCUGGGCUUUCCAAAGGCCCUUCUAUCAUGCAUUAAUUCGAUAAAUUAAUUUCAUGGGUUUGCCAAAUAGGCCCUUUAUCACGGAUUAAUUCUAUGAAUUAAUUUUAUGGGCCCUCCUUGUCAUAGAUUAAUUUCAUGAAUUAAUGGGCCCUCCAAAUGGCUCCUUAUCAUGAAUUAAUUCAAUGGGCUCUCCAAAUGGCCCCUAUCAUGAAUUAAUUUCAUCAAUUAAUUCAAUGGACUUUACAAACGGGCUUCUAGCAUGAAUUAAUUUCAUGAAUCAGCUUCAUGAACAUCUCGAUUUCAAACGACCGAAAAGUCGUUAAACUAAACCCAAAUUUCAAAUGACCGAAACGUCGCUAAACUAAACCCAAAUUUCAAACGACCGAAAAGUCGUUAAACUAAACCCAAAUUUCAAACGACCGAAAAGUCGUUAAACUAAACCCAAAUCUCAAACGACCGAAAAGUCGUUAAACUAAACCCAAAUUUCAAACGACCGAAAAGUCGUUAAACUAAACCCAAAUCCCAACGACCGAAAAGUCGUUAAACUAAACCCAAAUUUCUUGAACCAUGAACCAAGUCCGUACACCAAAUUCAUGAACCAUAUCCAAGUUCAUGAACCAAGUCCAUACACCAAAUCUAUGAACCAUAUCCAAGUUCAUGAACCAAGUCCAUACACCAAAUUCAUGAACCAUAUCCAAAUUCAUGAACCAAAUCUCAUGAGCCAAUACUAAAAUCUCAUGAACCAAUACCCAAAUCUCAUCGUGAACCUUUUUUUUACUCUGGCACAUAUACCUAGAGUAAAAAUUAAAUAUCGACUACCCCUAAUACAUAUACUUAGGGCUAUGUCAAUCGCCUUAGCACAUAUAACUAAGGCAAAACAUCUCCAAAUCGACAGAGUUCUAAGUCAUAUACUUAGAAUUCAGUCAAAUGAUAUCAAGUUUAUUCGAACUCUAACAUAUAUACUUAGAGUUCAUCCGACUAACCCUAACACAUAUACUUAGGGUCUAGUCAGCCUUUUGCUCUAGCACAUAUACCUAGAGUGGAAGUCAAACCAUGGUCGACUAACCCUAACCCAUAUACUUAGGGUCUAGUCAGUCUUUUGCUCUAGCACAUAUACCUAGAGUGGAAGUCAAACCAUACUCGACUAACCCUAACACAUAUACUUAGGGUCUAGUCAGUCUUUUGCUCUAGCACAUAUACCUAGAGUGGAAGUCAAACCAUGCUCGACUAGUCCUAACCCAUAUACUUAGGGUCUAGUCAGCCUUUCACUCUAGCACAUAUACCUAGGUGAAAUCCUUACCCGAUCGAGCUCUAAUACAUAUACUUAGAGUUCAAAUCCGACUACCCCUAAUACAUAUACUUAGGGCUUAGUCAGAUCUUCAUUCUAGCACAUAUAACUAGAGUGAAACUCGGUUAAUCCUGAUACAUAUACUCAGGAAUUAGCCACUCCCUACUUUCGGGUAAUUCGACCCACCUCAAUACAUAUACUUGAGGUCUGGUCACAUUUUCAUCUUGGAACAUAUAACCAAGGUGGACAUAAUCGGACUCUAAGACAUAUACUUAGAGCCAAUUAGAUUCUAAUACAUAGAGUCUAAGAUCGACUAGGUCAUAACACAUAUAUUUAGGAUCUGGUCAAUCUCAAAUCCAACUGAACCCUAAUACAUAUACUUAGGAUUCAAUAAAUCAAAACUUCUUCGCUAGAUUGGAUAUUUAGUCUGAUAAAAUUCAUGUACAGUGGGGGAAUGCCCCUGCUUAAGCCAUGUAAACGGCAAAUCAUAUCAAUAAAAUUUUAUUUGCCUGUUUUGUCUCUUUUAUUAUCAGCAUUUAUAUUUGGUCUCUUAAUCGAGGGUUCCUUAACACCGAAAGUGUGGGAUAAUUAACAACAGAUUCUUGAGUCUGUUGGAAGCCAUGAACCUAUAAUCCUGAUUUCAAAAUAAAAUAUAAAUAAAUUUUAUCUCUACCAUGAAUGACCACUCGCCUUAGAAACAACCUACGGCGGGACCGGUUCGUUCGCAGCAGACAUUGAGGAACACCA